AGUCCCCUUCCCCCCUCUCUCUCUCUAUGAUCAGUUUCUCUCUCACACACAUAUAACGCACGAAGCCACGCAGUCAACGUGUCCCGGCGCAAUACCCAACACCUCUCCCCCAAAGCAAACCUUUUAUUCCAAACCCCAACUGAAUUCCAUUCGCAAUUAAUUGCCAAGCAAAUCCUGUUCACAUUAAUGCGAGCUUUUAUUGUUUUUUUCUUGAAUCAGUCGUCUUAAAUUUGACAAAUUCUCCAUAGAUUAUUGAUGCGCGUGUCUUCUGCUGCUGUUCUUCUUGUCCAUUGAUUCCCUGCAUCAAAUCAAUCUCGGCCGUUCGCCGCCUCUCUCAUUUCUCACUUUUUGUUCUUGAAUUAAACAUAUAUAUAUAUAUAUAUUUUUUCCGUUUAAUGAAGUUCGGUGGUGGUCUCUGCUGUUUUGAUUGUUGUCGUCCACAGUUGGUGUGGAAUUUCUUUGAUCAAAGUGAUUUAGCAUUGUCUUCCUCAGGUUUUUUUAUUUGCUUAAUUUGUUCAGUUGAUGUUCGAUUUGAUGCUGUAAUUAUUUAAUUUAAUUUUGUUUGCAAUUUGAUGAAACAGUUGUGGCUGGUUUAAAUUUGAGAAAGAAGGGAGGUUUAAUUACUCAUUCUGCAGUCAAUGGCGAAUUGCGACAAUGGCCGAUCCGUUUUUCCCUUAACAAACUUACAAAUUGGGUAUAUUUUAUUGGAAUCUUAUGGACUCUUUUCAUUUUUUAAUGCAUCAGAAGCAUGUGCUUUGUUUUUGUUUUUUUGUUAAUGAUCUGAGUAUGCAUGUUCUUGUUUGUUAGGCUCGCAUGUGUUAGAUGUUUUUUAUUGUAAGUUCACCUUUGAAAGUUCCUUUCAAACUCCGAUUUUGUGUUCAUCGAUUUUGCUGUAUGAAGAAUUUAAUCUUACCUCUUUUAACCUAAAACGGAUAUACACUAAUUUUGUGUGUUUAUUUUUUCCAUUUGGUGAUAAAAAUAAUUGUAAAAUUCAAGUAUACAUAUUUUCAACAGGCGACGAUGCGUUUUUUUGUAAAAUCUCAGAUUUUACGAAAACAAUUGCGGAUUCAUGAAUACCUUGCCAGAUUUUUAUCCUUUGUCUAAAAUAUGAUUUUUCCUGUGUCUAAAUUUGAUGUUAGAGAUCAUUACUCGAUGUUGGACGCUUAGUUUGAUUAAUCAUGGUGAUGUUUAUCUGUUAUCAGGGAUUUGCAGUCAUAUCUUUCACAUCUCAGCCUGUUUAUGGCAUCUGACAGUGGAAAGUUCUAUAUCUUGGUGGACAACAGACCCUGGUUAAAAGAUCUCGUGUCACGGCCUACGCAUUUGUGGCAGUUGAUGGUCACUAAGGUUAAACUCGCCAUCCUAAUCUAGUUAAUUAGCAGGAUCUUCGAACUUUUAACUUUUAGUAACUAACACAGGUUUGAAAAUACUUUUCUGCUAAUUGUGCAGUCCAGGUUGUCCCCAUUUGCAAACACUCGAGGUAGGAAGGACAAAAGGAUGAUAGGAGAAAUUUCAGAGCUUAAUGAUUCUUCGUCAUCGAACACAAGUAAACUAAGAAACUUCAAACAGUGGUUCUCGUUGAUUGAUGCUCUGAUGUUAUCCAGACAGAGGGCUUUGCUACCCGUAAAGAAGCUUAGGAAUUCUUUGAUUGCAAACAGUAAGUUGCAUAGAACCUUGUAUGGAUUCAUUGUGUUUGAGGUUGCAUGGAAAGAUAUACGGGGUAUUAACUAUUUGAAUGAGCUUCAGGUAAGCUAUUAUCGAGUUAUUUCAUUUAUCUACUCUACUUUGACAUAUGUUUCAUGGACUCUGAAAUUCGUGUUUCUUACAAUGCCGUGUUAAGACCGAUACUUCACUUGCAUUAGAGGCUAAAGUCAUGAGAAGGUGGGAAUUUGACAGCAUAGGACAAGCAGCCAGGUCAAUAUGUUCAUGGUUCCCGGGCACACUUAACGAACAGAUUCUUCUGAAAGAGCAUUUAGAUGCUACUUUAGGUAUUUUACAAGUUAAACCCCUCUCAUAGCUUUGUUUUAACUUUCUUAAUUCUUGGCUAUCAUUCUUGUGUGAAACAAAUUUUGAAGUGAGAGAAACAUGUUAAGGGAACUUCACUUAAAUUUAUGUACACCACCACAGCAAGUGAGCUUAAAUUAUUGGCUAUUCAAUAUGUAUACUGAAAUUGUGUCCGUAUAAUGGGGUAAAAGUUUAAAUUUAGUUGCAGUUUUACUGUGUGUUUUAUGGCAUGUAAUUCUUCGUUGACAUAUGAACUGUUGGCUAUUACUUUGUCUCGUGGAAUUGUUCGAUGUUGAGUGAAUUUAUUUACUGUUCUGUGAGCACAAACAGUGUUCAAUGAGCAAGACCGUGAUUGGAUGUGAGUUGAGGAGUAAUGAAGUGUAAUUUUGAGAAACAUCAAAUUAUGUUAGUGCUGGAUUUUGUUUUAUUUUAUGAUACGUCUCGCUGUUUAUGUUAUUUGGUAGAUUGUGCAUUAUCCAACCAACGAGUAUUUCAUUAUUUUUUCUAUUAGUGAUGAACUUCUCAUCACUAAUAAACUUGGACAACAUUUACUCUCUCUAAUCUGUAUCACUAAUAAACUUGGUUAUAGGUAAACAUUGUGAAAUUUUUUAGGUUACUAAAUCUGAGAUUGUUGCAGGGGAGAUCUUCUAUGAUGCUCAAGAAAGUUUCCCUAGGAGUAAUGAUGAUGGCGACGAUGAUGGUGGUGAUGAUGAUGUCGCUUGUGAUGACAUGUCUGACGAAGAUGAAUCUCCGUGCUCUGUGAGUGGCAGUUUCAAUAGUUUCAGCGUUUAUCCAGUAAUAACGGGAAACAGGACGAACAGACUAAAUACACCGCCUCUCCUUAAUGGUCCUUACAAGAGAAGGAAAGUCAUGAGGUCCAUCUAUCGUGAGCUCGGUAUUUCUUCUGAAGAAGCAGACUCUGAAACUGUUGAAAUAUUGUCUAACAGCCCUGAUUCAAGCGAUUGUGAAGAGACACUUAACCCUAAUCUGUACAGAGAUGUUUUAAUUUUGUUCCGAUUCAAUGAUCGAGACCUCCCUUUUAAACUAAAGGACAUAAUUAUGUCUGAUUUGCGGCUACUUACUCUUCUCGAAGCUGGGCUUCCAUCAUGGGUUAUUUUCCUUCAGUCGUACCCGGUAUUUUUCCAUUUUUACCGUCCGUGGAUGUGUCCCUUGGCCCGAGCUCUCUAUGUGCUUAUAUCAAUUGUAACUGUCCUUAUUGGAUUCUACGACUUGUACAAGAAUGUACCUCUCCUCAAGGCAACAGCGUCUAGUUUGUUCGGACCCCUCUUUGAUUGGAUAGAAACGUUGGAAAUGAUUUCAAGAAUCAAGUAUUUGGGAACCAUGUUAUUUCUUCAUAAUUUUCAGAAGGCAAUCAAGUGGUUUCUCAUGGUGACUCGGACUGUUCGUUCGUGUCUUUCAUUUUUCAUCGAGCCAAUGGCCGGACCUUUUGCCGAGCUUUUGGAACUGUUCCUUCCUGUUUGGAGUAUUUGUAUUCAACUAGCCGAGAGUUUCUUUUCAGUGACUUGGAUGGUGGUUGAGUCUUGUUUCUCGACGGUUGGAGACCUUGUAGAGAUUUUACUGAUGCCUUUAUGGUAUAUCUUGUCUGUUGUCUGGAAUGUCGGUGAGUUAGUUAACAUACUCGCUUUAGAUAAAUAUGUUACAAGUUUUCCUUUCCUUUACGCUGUCGAUUUUUCAGACUUCGUUUGUGACAUCAAAAUUUCUUUUGAUAUUGUGUUUGAUUUUUGCAGCGAUAUAUGUUUUAUACCCGAUAUUCUGGAUUCUGUGGGAAGUUCUUUAUGCUCCAAUUCGGCUGGUCCUUGGAUUUUGUAGCCUUGUAGCUUACUUGUGUACAUCUAUGUGUGACUUGAUCGGGGAUUUGUUGCUAUUGGCAAGCAGCAUUUUUAAUUUUACAAAAGAUGUUGAGUCGACAGUUAGCUCGUAUGAGGUUUCUAUGUGGCGUUCUCUCUGGAAUGACCUUUUCUCCCAGGUGUUUAUUUUUAAAGCUCAACCUUUUAAUCGGAGUUACAUCUCUGGUUUCCUUUUCUCAUCUUAUGGUAUUUUUAUCAGAUUUUCCGCGCUCUCCGAAGUAUUCUUAAUGGAUUUGUGGCAUUCUUCACUACCUGCAAUAGACAUCGCCUCAGGUACUUAUUGAAUUUUGACUCACAGUUCGAUGAAUCACAUCAUCAUGUUGUUUGGCAAACCUUCCAUAUAAAAAAGAAUGGCAUCUAAAAAAUAAUCGGAAUUAUUUUCUGCUAUUUGGCUAACUGUACAUUUUUUUUCUGCAAUGGUUGGAAUUACAGUAUCUAUAACCAUAUGAAGAAGCUCAACCGCAAAAUAUCAUGCACGGCUACGAGGCCAGCAGCUUCUGACAGAAAUAGUCGAAGUGGACCUACUUCCGGAGCUCAAACAACUGUAAGUAAUCAUUUCUAGCUUUGCGCAUAAAACAUAAUUGAUAUUCCUUGUGCUAAUAACCUGAAAUGUAUUCCCGUAUUUACUUUAUUUUAAUGGUUUACUUACGGCAGCCAAGAGUUAGGAAAGAGUUCCAUUCCAAGAAGACUGCAUGAGAUCGAUACAAAACGUAUACAUUACAUACAACAACACUUUACGGCGGGUAAUAUCAUCUGUAUAUACGAGAGGAGGCUGACAAUAGGCAUCAAUUAGUGAGAUUUGUAUAUAUUAUAUCGCAAUAUUUGUGAAAGAAAUGAGAAAGAAAAAAGUCUUCGGAGGUGUUAGCAUUCACGACUAGAAGGAAAACAGUAAUCGGAGGUGUUAGAAUUCCUGUAAGAUCUGGGAUCCUUGAGUUAUUUUCUUUCUAAUCGUUGUAUUCUUGUAAUCUCACGAGGCGGGCUCACAACUUCUUCCGACUUAACCAUGUAUAUAUUCUUCUUCCUAAUGUUGCUGAUCACUUUUGUAAGUAAAUGCAUACAUAGUGUAUUAUAUCAUCAAUAUAGCGAGCUUACAAGUACGAAAUUCUUUCUCAUUAUUGGAUUCACCUUGAAAAUUUGCUGAUGAUUCAUCAACUUGGUAGCGUUGCAAAGAGUAAUGGUUUUGCGAAUUACUUGAAUGACGAAAAAUAGAUUAGUUUUCCGUGUGGAUAAAUUACGAGUCUUGUGCAAGACUUUAUUUAUAAAGUUUCCGUUUUAGAGAGGCCGAAUGUUUGUUUUAUUGGUACCGGUAGCCAACAAUUGAUGCAAAGGGGUAAAAUUCUUUGUAUGAGAUUGAUGUCUUUACUUCAAAGAAAAGACUGCACAAUAUAUAUUCCCUCAGCUCGCACAUUCUCUCUCAUGUUUGUUACAUCUUCACACAUUGAACCAUUUUCUACGUGCGAAACAAUAGCAAUUGCCCCAUUUCGAGCUUGAUUGUACGUUCGCAAGCGAGAUAGUAACAAGAUUUUGUAGUGUUUUGUUGAGAUUCGAGUAGAAGAUGAUUGAGUAACGAAGAUUUAGUGAAAUGAUUUUCAUAAUGUGCUUUGAUCAGGUGCUAGUGAAGAAAUUAACUCGACUGGCGUGGGGAUUUUCUUCUUGAAAAAAUAUUUAGAAAUUAGAAUAAUUACCUAAUAUAUACAAUUAAAAAAAACAAAAAAACAAAUUGGCACACACCCUAACACCAGUUCAACUGGGGUGUAGAGAAUAAUACACUUUUCCGAUGUCCCUUUGUUUAAAAUUAUCUAAAUUUAUUACCAAAUAGGUUUCCAAUUUCUUUUUUUUUUUUUUUUUUUACUUUGAAAUUGAUUUCAAAACAUGUUAAAUUAGGCAAUACAGGACGAUUAUAAUAUUGUUAUGAAUCUAAGGUGAUCAAAUGAGUGAUUAUGCCGUAUAAGAUCAAUACACACACUCAUGCACACAGAUCACACACACACACAGUAAUCAAAGAAGAACAAUGAACAAGAGCAAUUUUACGAGGUUCGAACUCGGUGUGAGUUCUACAUCCCCGGGAGCAGUACACUCCAAUCCACUAUAUUCAGAGAUUUCUACAAUUACACGUACACAGCAACAAGAUCAGAUCAUGAGCACAAAACCAGCUCAGAUCUGAUAGAAACCCUACCCAAACCCGAAAGGAGUUUCACUCUCUCUCCGCUUUCGUGUUUCCCAGUGUAAUGCACUCUCUCUCUAGUGUUGCUCACGUUGCCUUUAGCACAGCAGAUAUGAUGCUAUAUAUAUCCCAACCGAGGCACAUGAUCCCAUGUGCCUUCCACUUAUAUCAGCCAAUGAGAGCUCUUUCUUUUCCUCCAAGAAUCAGCUCUACCUAUCAUCUACAUGUGCAGCUCACGUGACCAUAUGCAUGUGCAACUCACAUGCAUAAUCCCAAGUGGAUUAAGUGUCAUAAACCGUAGAUUAGAACCAUAGUUUAACAAAUCUCCACCUUGGUUCAAUCUACAACACCUUGUACUGCUCCACCAUGCUCUUGAAAGCAUGCAGCCAGGAUAAAAUCAUGUCUUAGUUCUCCUCAUCCAAGUCUUGAACUUGCACUAAGUUCAAACAAUGUUGAAACUUAGUAAUUGGCAAUGCUUUAGUCAAAGCAUCUGCAGGAUUCUCUUCAGUAGCUAUCUUCUCCACUUUAAUCUGACCAGAAGCUACAACCUCUCUAAUAAAAUGGAACCUGAUAGCUAUGUGCUUUGAUCUCUCAUGAAACAUUGGAUUUUUAAUGAGAAAUAUAGCACUUUGACUAUCACAGUGUAAGAUGAUCUUCUCAUCUUUCCCAGACAACUCCUCCUUGAAUCCCUUUAACCAUAACCCCUCUUUCACAGCCUCAGUAGCAGCCAUAUAUUCUGCUUUUGUAGUUGAAAGAGCUACAACCUUUUGCAGACAAGAUUUCCAACUCACAGCUCCACCAUGAACUGUGUAAAUAUAACCAGAUAGAGACUUCCUUGUAUCUACACAACCAGCAUAAUUAGAGUCUACAAAACCUUGCACUGCAAAACUAUCUUCCUUGCAUCUCUUAUACAUAAUUCCCCAACCACAAGUACCUUUUAGGUACUUCAACAAGCUCUUCAAAGCAAUCCAAUGUGCCUUACCAGGCUCUGCCAUAAAUCUUCUUAAUAUGCUCAAAGCAUAAGCAAGAUCUGGUCUUGUUGACACCAUACAGUACAUAAUACUUCCAACAACAUUUGCAUAAGGAAUAUUCUGCAUAUACUGCUCUUCCUCUGAAGAUUUUGGCUUCUGAUUUUGACUCAACUUAAAAUGAGCAGCCAAAGGAGUUCCAACUGGUUUUGAAUCAAUCAUACCAUACUUAGAGAGGACUUUUUCUAAGUAUUCUUUCUGAGAUAGAAAUAACUCACUCUUCUUUCUAUUCCUCUUAAUAUCAAUGCCAAGUAUUCUACUUUCAUUUCCCAUGUCCUUCAUUUCAAAUUCCCAUUUCAGUUUGAUCUUGAGGUUUCUGAUCUCUCUAACAUGUUUCCCAAUGAUCAACAUAUCAUCAACAUAUAAGAGAAGAAGAAUUUGAUCCUCACCUUUUGAUCCAUUCUGACAAACACAACUGUCAUAACUGUUCUUCUCAAAGUUUAUUGACAGCAUGAAAAUAUCAAACCUCUUGUACCACUGUCUUGGGGAUUGUUUUAAUCCAUAUAGAGACUUGUGUAACAAGCACACCAUGUCUUCAUCACCAUUAUGAAAACCCUCAGGUUGCUUCAUAUAUAUAGUCUCUUCCAAUUCACCAUGAAGAAAGGCAGUGGUGACAUCCAUUUGUUCAAGUUCAAGAUCAAACAGAGCUACAAGAGAUAGAGCUAUUCUGAUUGAGGGUUGUUUCACAACAGCUGAAAAAAUCUCAUUGAAAUUUAUACCUUCUCUCUGAGUAAAGCCUUUUGCAACAAGCCUUGCCUUGUAUCUUGGCCUUUCAACACCAGGUAUUCCAGUUUUUAAUUUGUAAAUCCACUUACAGCCAACAAGUUUUUGAUUCAUUGGCUUUUUCACCAGUGUCCAAGUGUUAUUAUUCUUGAGAGAUAACAUCUCCUCUUCCAUAGCCAUCAGCCUAUUCUCAGUACUUGCAGUAGCUUCUUUGUAGCUUGUAGGUUCACUCUUGUUUGCCUCGUUUGCAACUGCAAGAGCAUAUGCAACGAUAUCUGCAUAUCCUAACAUGUUAGGCACUUUCUUCUCUCUUCUAACUCUAUCCCUAGCCAAUUGAUAAUUUUGAAGAUUAUCAACUUCUGUUGACUCUUCCACUGUCUCUUCAAUAGGUAGUGAUUCAUCCUCUAAACUUUCAUUUUCUAACAUUGGGGCAGGAUCAGCAAACUCCACCUCAAUUUGAGCUCCCCUUGUAUCAGCAAUGUCUGAAGAUGAAGCCUCCAUUAGCAAAGGCAUUUGAUCUUCAUUGAAAGUCGCAUCUCUGGUAAUUAUGCACUUUUGAUUUCCUUUUUCUAUGCACCAAAGUUUAUAGCCUUUCACUCCUUCUGGAUAGCCUAGAAAAAUGCACUUAAGUGCUCUAGCUUCCAACUUAUCCUGCCUCACAUGAGCAUAAGCAGCACAUCCAAACACUCUCAAAUGAUCAUAUGUGGGAGGUUGACUGGUCCAAAUCUCUUGAGGAGUUUUAAAUUUUAGAGCAGAUGAUGGACUUCUAUUUAUGAGAUAGCAAGCUGUAUUGACUGCCUCACCCCAAAACUUUUUAGAACAACCUGAACUCAACAGCAUGCAUCUCACUUUCUCAAGUAUAGUCCUAUUCAUUCUCUCUGCUAAGCCAUUUUGUUGAGGGGUACUCCUCACAGUUUUGUGUCUUGUAAUACCAGUCUCUUCACAAAAUUUAUUAAAUACUUCUGACACAAACUCCAAGCCAUUAUCAGUUCUUAGAUGUUUGAUUUUCAGACCAGUUUGAGUUUCUACCUUUUGUUUCCAUGCUUUGAAAACUGAGAAUGCUUCAUCCUUGGUUUUCAACAGAUAAAUCCACACUUUCCUAGAUUUGUCAUCAAUAAGUGACAUGAAAUAUCGGCAACCUCCCAUAGUCUCAGUCCUUGAAGGUCCCCACAAAUCAGAGUGAAUGUAUUCAAGAUUGUGUUGAGUUGUGUGAACAGCUUGACUGAACUUCACCAUUUUUGCUUUUCCCAAAACACAAUUUUCACAAAACUUUAGCUCUUUAAUCUUGCUUCCAUCAAGAAGCUUUUGCCUCACAAGCUCUUGUAUUCCUCUUUCACUCAUGUGAGCAAGCCUUUUAUGCCAUAACGUUGUAUCAUCCAAUACUACAACAUCAGUUGUAUUGGCUGACACAGAACCAUCUAGGAAGUAAAUGCCAUUUCUCAAAAUUCCCUUCAUCACUAUCAGAGAUCCUUUUAGGAUUUUCAUCACUCCACUCUUAGCUCUCAUUUCAUAACCAGCUUCAUCCAACUUACCAAUAGAUAUAAGGUUUCUUUUCAAGGCAGGAACAUACCUCAUUCCAUUUACCAGCUUCUUUUGACCAGAGGAUAGCUGCAAGUUUACAGCUCCAAUUACCAAGAUCUUGCAAGUUUUAUUGUCUCCAAGAAGCACCAUUCCUUUCUCUGAUUCCUUGAGAUCUUGAAACUAUUCCUUGUUUGGAGUCAUAUGAAAUGAGCAUCCAGAAUCAAGUACCCAUUCUCCACCUGAAUUUGGGUAUGAUGUUACUAAAACAUCUCCCUCUUCUACAUAGGUGGCAGUCAAUACAUCAGCAGAUUCAUAACCAUCAGAUGCUAUAGAUGCAUCUCCUUUAUCACUGUAGUUAGAGUCCACUUUCUUCUGUGUUCUUUCUGGACAGAAUCUCUUAAUGUGGCCUUCCUUUUUACACUUGUAGCAUCUUCUGGUAUCUCUGUUAGGUUGUCUAGAUUUAGAUCUAGAUUUUCCUCUUCCUUUCCUUUGGUCCUUCUUCUCUGUUCUUCCUCUCACUGUGAGUCCAUCACCAUUUACAUUUGAGCUCUCUUUGCUUCUUCUGUAGCUCCUUGGAGUUUAGCACUGACUUGACCUCUGUCAUAGUGAGUGUUUUCUCCCCAUAUAGCAUUGUAUCCACAAUAUGCUCAUAUGUCUUUGGUAAUGAACUGAGGAGGAUAAUAGCUUGAUCUUCUUCUUCAAUUUUAACUCCAACUGAAUGCAGAUCAAGGAUUAUCCUGUUGUACUCAUCCAAGUGCUUUCUGGUUUCAGUGCCUUCUUCCAUGUGAAGUGUGUACAGCUUCUUUUUUUAGAUACAAUCUAUUUGCCAGAGAUUUCUUCAUAUAGAUUGACUCCAAUUUCUCCCAAAUAGCUAGGGCAGUAGUUUCCUCUGAAACUUCCCUCAACACCUCAUCCCCAAGGCUCAGAAUCAGAGCAUUGUGAGCUUUUGAUAAUAUCUCUGGAAUUGCCUUUUGAUCUUCAAUGGCAGCUAAGGAUUUAGGAUCUAGAGCUAUAAAAGUACCCUGAUGAACCAUUAAGGCCUUCAUCUUUAUCCUCCAGAUAGUGAAGUCAUUUUCACCAUUGAAUUUCUCAAAUUCAAACUUAGAGGAACUCAUCUUCUUCAGAUCUGAAUCUGUGACUGUGUUGAAGGUAUAGAUCUGUGUUUAUUGAUGCACAAUUUGAAUUAACCAGUCACCUUCAAUCGAUCCACGCUCACCGCACCACUUGUUAUGAAUCUAAGGUGAUCAAAUGAGUGAUUAUGCCGUAUAAGAUCAAUACACACACUCAUGCACACAGAUCACACACACACACAGUAAUCAAAGAAGAACAAUGAACAAGAGCAAUUUUACGAGGUUCGAACUCGGUGUGAGUUCUACAUCCCCGGGAGCAGUACACUCCAAUCCACUAUAUUCAGAGAUUUCUACAAUUACACGUACACAGCAACAAGAUCAGAUCAUGAGCACAAAACCAGCUCAGAUCUGAUAGAAACCCUACCCAAACCCGAAAGGAGUUUCACUCUCUCUCCGCUUUCGUGUUUCCCAGUGUAAUGCACUCUCUCUCUAGUGUUGCUCACGUUGCCUUUAGCACAGCAGAUAUGAUGCUAUAUAUAUCCCAACCGAGGCACAUGAUCCCAUGUGCCUUCCACUUAUAUCAGCCAAUGAGAGCUCUUUCUUUUCCUCCAAGAAUCAGCUCUACCUACCAUCUACACAGUGGCGGAUCUAGCUAUGGUCUAGGGUGUGCAGCUGCACACCCUUGAUUUUAAAUAAAUACUACUAUUAUACAUAUGUUGACAGAAAAAGUAGGUGGUUGAGGUGGUAAAGAUAUGCCUCCCUUUACUAACAGGUCACGGGUUCGAGCUCCACUCACACAUUUUGAUUUCUUUUCCAAAUCUUAACAUUUUUCACCUUUUUGUUCCACUAUUUUGAUUUUUUUUUUCCAAAUCUUAACAUUUUCACCUUUUUUUCUCAUUAAAUAUUUCCACAAUUCACCUAAAAUUUUUACAUUGUAAAUUUUUGGUCCACUAUUUUUAUAAAAUCUUAACAUUUUCACCUUUUUUCUCAUUAAAUAUUUCCACAAUUCACCUAAAAUUUUUAAAUUGUAAAUUUUUGGUCCACUAUUUUUAUAAAGUGAUAUUUAAAUUUUUUACUCUACAAUUUCGAACCCCCUUGGCAAAAAUCCUGGAUCCGCCACUGCAUCUACAUGUGCAGCUCACGUGACCAUAUGCAUGUGCAACUCACAUGCAUAAUCCCAAGUGGAUUAAGUGCCAUAAACCGUAGAUUAGAACCAUAGUUUAACAAAUAUGUAUGUUGAUUACUAAAUGUUCGAUUAAUUGUUGUUAUGUGCACUUGAUUCGGUCGUUUUUGUCUUGAAUUUCGAUGGAGGUUGCGCAGUCAGUAAAUGUCAAUUUUUGAGAAUUUUUCGACACGUAUACGGUCGACUUUGAAAUAAAAUUCGACUCUUAACUGUUGAUUUUUAUUUCAAAAUUUUGACAUUUUAUAUAUAAAAAUAUAAAACUUAUACAUUUUAUAUAUUUUUCAAUUGUCGAUAAUUACAUGUCGAUUUUUGUAAAAUUUUUGACACGUUGAUGUCGACCCUUACUCGUAAAAUACACCUUAUAUAAAAAAAAUAAAAAAAUAAAAAAAAAGAAAGAAAAAACUCAUUUUUCUCAUUUUAAUUAGUUGAAGACCAAACUAAAGAAAAGAAAAAAAAACUCCCCACCCCCUAAAACGACCGGGCGAUGGCAGCUAGCUGUCAAAAGUUAUCAUGCAGAAGGAGAAGAAGAGAAGAAGGAAGAGAAGAAGAAGAAGCAACACAAGUAUAAGUAGAAGAAUAAGCAGGAAGAAAUCUGUAAACAAGAAGAUGGGUGUGAGGGUUUUGUGUGUAUUGGAUUAAAGAAAGAAAAAUGAGAUUUGUUUUAUAUUUGUGGAGUAUUGAUUUUCAUUAAGAGUAUUAACGUUAUUACAUAUUUAUUACGUGCCUAUUAUCUAUUUUGUUAGCAAAGUAGUAUUAAACUGAGAAAGAAGUUGUAUUUCUUAUUGGCCCUUCAUAUUAUGAUAUAUUCUCUAACAAAACAGAUAAAAAGUUCAAAAUUGGACCAAAAACUUUUGAAUAUUGUUGCCGAGUUAAUAUCAUUUUAUUAUUUAUUAUUAUUCGGAUUUAUUUAGAGUAAGUGGGCGGUUAUUGGUUAGCUUAGUGGGUAGUUACCUUAAACUUAUGCGUAUUUAUUCACUAACCCAUUAUCCCACUAACUCUCUAUCUUCUUUUAGUGUGCUAUUCUCGUGCAGGACAUGAUGUUCCUGAACUCUAUAAAUAGGAGAAGAUCCAAGUUCAUUUUUACCAAUUUCUGACGAGAAUCAAGAGCGCAUAGCAGAGAGUGUUGGAACACCGUCUACAACACCUUGUAUUAUUUACAGAUUUCUCAUUACAGAAUUGAGUCUGUUGUGUAUUCAAUCCUACUGAAUCCUAAAUUGUAUUCCUAGUACAUCAUUGAGUGCUUUUGUACUAGUUACUAGGAAUAGUCUAAGAAGAAAUCGUCUUGUGUUUCCUUCUUAGAAGAGAAGAGCUUGGCUUCUAAAUUGUAUUCUUUUGAAUACUGGUUUUAGCUUAUAAAGGUUUCAUCCACAAGUUAUAUACUUGUGGAUAAUGAUUUUAUAAAAAUUUAUAUUAUUUUAACAAAUUCGAAGGCACUCAACUCUUUCAAAUAUAUACUUGUGGAUAAUGGUUUUAUAAAAAUUUAUAUUAUUUUAACAAAUUCUGAGGCACUCAAUUCUUUCAAAUAUUAUAGCCCAAAAUCCACACAUUAAAAUACACGUGAGCUUGAGAACUCAAGUUCAAAUCUUUUUAGUUCAAUCGUGUCCAGUCGGCUCAUGCAACUUACGAAGAUCAUAAGCCAGCGCAAUUCAUUUAAUCCUUUAAUUUCUAUGAAUUUGUUAUACAUAUUUAUCGGACAUGUAAACAAGAGCGAAAUAACUUGGUUAUCCAAUACCAGCCUCGAGUACCGAAUAUGCAAAAUCGCGAAAUAAUCACUAGUGAAGCCGGACAAAGUAGAAUUUUAUGCUACAAUUUUUCACACUUUUCUGCAAAAGAAUUAUAAAAUAAAACCUGGACAAAGUGGAUUUUAUGCUACAAUUUUCACUCAUUUUUCUCUAAGAUCCAUAACCCCAAUUAAUAACUGUACAAAUGAUCAAGCAGCAAGUACCAUAACUUUGAUUGUUCCUCUACUAUUUGCAGCCAACAUGGUGGGGCUAUCACUCUUCCAGCACACCGCACUGAUGAAGUAAGAUCCUAAUUCUUCUUCGUUAUCAUCUUCCACAUCGGGAGAUCCAAAUUUAUGCGAUGUCGCUUGUUUGGAGAUGGCCUAAAUUUUACCGAUUUUUAAAUGUUAUGAUAUUCCAAACAUGUAAGAGUUUGACAAAAACAAGAGCUGAUUCCUUACCUUGUGAUAGACAAACACUUCGUUUGUUUCACUGCCACAAGAUAGGAACUCGCUAUUCACUGUGAGACCGACGAAAUUCUUCUCAUUUGUAUGCCCUCUAAAUGUACGAACCUGAAAACAAUACUCUUAACAAAUUUGUAAAAUAUAACUUAAAAAAGACAGCAAGCACCCGACGAUAGUUUUCAUACAUCAGGUAAUGAACUCUAUAGGUCCCUGGGAAUAAACAUAUCUAACUAAUAUGGAACUUACCGGCAAAUUUUUCUUGACAUCCCAUAGUCGCAGAGUACUAUCUGUUGAAGCAGAAGCAAGCUCAUUGCUCGACAAGAAUUUGACAUACGAAACUGUCUUUUUAUGGCCACUGAACACGUAGAGUGGGUGGCAAGUGUUUCUUAAGUCGUAAUAAUGUAUAUGGUGAUCGGCAGAACCAACCUGCGUAGGAACAUGGCACGUAUUAGAUGUGUGCUUUAGACAAAAUAUACACAAUAUUAACUUUGUAAAUUUGAGUGGAAGUUAAUCACAAAUGGCAUUCAUUAUUCAAAGAUGCAGGCUCCUCAAGUUUUUUUUUUCUCUUUUUGUACUCUUGAAGUAAUCUUUUGCCCGCUUUUCCUUAUUUGUUAGGAAAUGUAUGUGUGGUGGAGAUAGUAAAAUCUACUUGGAUAUAGAACAUGCAUGUUAUCAUUGACUAGUGAAAUUCAAUUUUCGAAUGAACUUCAGUGGUUGCAAGAGUCUGAUGAACUCCACUACUCGUAUUGUUAAUAAUAAUUUGAAGGGGCUAUUAAAUAAGCUUGCGUACCAGCAUGAAACCUUUGGAGAUUUAAGUGAAUACCACUUCUAUGUGUUAAGUGAAAAAAUAGUGACCAACGAAAAAUAUAUCCGCGGUUCCAGCAGAUCACAUUUUUUACCGAAUUCAACAACAAAGAAAAUAAAUAGGUUUAUUAAAAUCUAUUCAUUUGCCACUGGAACUCCAUUAUCAUUACCAAGAAAUUAAGGAGGGUCAGGAAUUGAAAUAGGGGAACAAGAAAGAAUAUUACCGCGACAAAUUUACUAGAAUCGGGAUUGUACUUUACACAGCAUAUAUUUGCCUUCAUAUCGAUGUUGAGGACGCUAGCUUCUUGGUUCGUACACCACACUUUAACCUGAAAUUUAUAUCACUUGUUAUCAAGAAGGGAUCUUAAUGGAAACUGGAUCUGCAGAGAGUGUAAACAAGAAAGGUCUUGAUGGAUGAAAGAGAAUUAAUUAAGUUUUCUUAGAUGCAGAAAACAAGAUUAAGUACCAGCAUUCUUUUGUAAUUAUGGAGCCCUAGUUUAACUACUUCUUAGGGAUAAACUAGUACUAGAAAUUAUUGAACAUAUACUGUUAUUCGAAUUUCAAUAUUUGCCUUGAAAUCUCUGGAAUGAUCCAAAGAGCUCAAACAACAGCCAUGAUUUGGGGAUUGAUGGCAUGAAAAACAGUAGAGGGACAUCAAAUUUUGUUAAUAUUGAUUAGAUGAGAUAAAUGAAUAGGACUGAACUCUUUAACUAUCUCAAACUACUACUAAUAAAAUCGCUUGCCUUCUACGUUUCCCAGUAUCAUGUAUACAAGGUUGCAAUAAUUAGAUAACUAGUUAGGACUUCUGUUUGAGCAUAAAAAGCAUUUUUACAUUACCUUGCAGUCGUCACUGCCAGACACAAGCAUAGACGGUUCUGUUCGGGAAAAAUCAACGCUCCAUGCACGUUUUUCAUGCUCCUCGUAUUCCAUGACACUCUGGAUAAGCCCAAAAAAUAUUAGCAUUUGUUAACGAACUAAAAACUUUUCUCAAACUGCAGAUAUUUGAUAACCAAUUUCAGUCUUGAGAAUGGAUAGUUUAUAGUGUUUAUAAGCCAAAAUAAUAGUUGAUGAGUUGAUGUGUGUGCCACAUCUACCUGCCGUGUGGAUACAUCCCAAAUAGUUACAAUUCCAUCGUAAUCACUACUAGCUAUAUGGUUUUUGGUGAACUUGUUCCAGCUCAGGCAGCUAAGUUUAGAUCGUGUUGCCAUCUCCACAACAGGGCAGUGCACAUCUGUAGGUUCAUUAACAACCUGUAAGACAAGCAUAAAGUCAGAUUAGCAUCCGGAAGGAAUCUUUUAAACAUGGCCUGACAAAUAAAUUUCAGGUUUACAACUGAAAUGAUGCUCCGUGAGCCGAAGUUAAUCUUGCAUACAUUAGCUCAUUGAUGCUCUAAUAUGUUUAUUGCAGAUACCAUAGGAAUUUGAAGUAAAACAACAGCAUGCAGUCCAGAUUCAAUGAUCACAGACCAUUCUAAUCUGGCACAGUAAUUAUUUUUAGUGAAAAUCAUUGAGAAGACAACUUUAUGACACACUUUCCCUCUUUGUCGGUCAAUGUAAAACCUUGCAUAUUUGACUAAUUCAUAUGGAUCAUACUAGAAUCCUUCUUUUUAAUUUGCACCAUUGAUCCUUAGGAUGUUAUACCCUUCAACAUUAAUAUCUCCACCGAUAAAAGAUAUCAAUACGUGUUGGACAAAUGUAAUACCAUAACAGAAAGGGGAGGUGUAUAGGGGAAAAGAAGCCUACCGAAGAGAAAUCAAAAACUUUUAUGCGCCGUGAAACUCCAGCAGUGGCAAACAGCUCAUCAUCACGAUCAAAUUCUAUACUGCAACAAGGAGAGUGACUUCACAUAUUUAAGCAGCACCAGAAUAGAAACAAAAUAGAGAGAAGACAGGAAGACAAAUCUGAUUACAGAGGAUUCUAGAAGUUACACAGAAGUAUCAUAAAAUCAAUAAGGGGUAUCCCAUGCUUGUUGAUCUUGGAGGGUCAACAUACCAGAAAAUCUACUGAUUUCUUCAAAAUGAAAUAUUUUAGAACUGAAUUCUACAAGGACAUAUAACAAUGUGUUUAAACUUCAAUCCAUUGAUUUUCUUUUCAUAUUGGGGAGUGUCAAUGAUCUUGAUUAACCUGCAAAAUUGGUAGACAAGGAUCGUCUCUAGAUGAACAAAUACAUCCUAAUUUCUUUGUUAUGUGAAAUUAUCAUCCGGAUCGACACUUUUCUAAAGAACUGUAUGCUACAGUAGUAAACUUAUGACAGAGGUGUAUGCUACAGUAGUAAACUUAUGACAGAGGUACUGGAGAGGAUCCUUGUUUACUCCACUCCAACUCAAGAGUAAUCAUCUUUUAAUCCCAAUUUCUUUUUGUUGGGUAAGGUAAUUGUGAUUUGCCAACUUGGACUUUAUUUCAGUUGAGUUUGUAUAAAACCCAUUAUCUAUCAGCAGGCUUUACAUACUAAGAGUCUGAGACACCUGGAUGAAAUAAGUAGGAACUAAUUGUCCAGACUUCCAACUUACCUCGAAACAAUAUUGGCCGAGUUAAAGAGAUCCCCAUGUUUAAGUUCAGCAAUUACUCGUAACCGACUGUUCCAAAUAAGGCCAUAAACCAUAAUUAGAAGACAUGAGUAAACAUGUGUAAAUGGUAAAAAAAUCUUAGUGGAACUGAAAUGUAGGGCCUACCUGUACCGGGUGAACGUACUUAGAACCGACUGGAAAUCUUCUAGGGCCAAACUAUAACCUUCUCUAGUAAUGUUAGUUUUAUCUUUUGUUUCGUGGGUCUCUAGAUGGUUCACCAACUGGCGUCUCUUUUGCAAGUAAAAUUCUUGAAGUUCAUUAAACUGCAAGAUGACAAUGAUUCCUCAACGAGAGAAUUUGAAAAGCCAGGUAGCAGAUAAUUUAAGCAAACAGAGACCCAAUUUCCAGUAAACAUUAUUUUAUGCAUAAAGCCCAUUCUUCCCUGACUUUCUAUUGGUAAAAAAACAAAAAGAAACCAACAAACAGACGAACAUAUAGAAGAUAAUUAUUCACACUGGUUGUGAAAGAUUCAAGCUCAGUUAGAAGGAAAUAAUAAAGAAUAGACAAAUGAAAUUCAAUAACGCGAAGGAAUACAUUCAAAUUCAUAUUUAUGGUGAACAUGGCAGCAGAAAACACUAAGUGGAACAUCAACUUUCCAAUGAGAAUCAGUUAAAACCAACCCUGCAUUACACUUGUGAAUUUAUUUAGUCUCUCCUUGUACAAAAACUCCAUUUUUUAUUCUAGAAUAACUAUUAAACCGGAAAAAAAAAAAAAUCAUGCUUGCUUAGUGUUCUACAGCAAGUCUGUUACAAUUAAGAUACAAACUCAUCUUAAAGUAUCCAGUAGAUAGGGAUGCACUUGCAUCAUAUUAUGUUUAUUAAAAAAACAAAAAUAUAGUUAUACGUCACAAUCUCUAAUCUUAUAAUUUCUAUAGUAUGAAGCAAACAGGACAUGAUAAUAACAAAUUGUCUUUAAUAUAGUUUUACGCCAAAUGGCUGUGUUUUAUUAUUAAAUACUUCUCUCUUAAUUCUGAUAUUCACAAGUAAUUACUAAAAUCAAACCGAUUAUACUUGACUGACUAUAACACAUACGACUAACACUGAUUUCUCAAAUUACUAAACAGUCUACAUUGCUAUAUUCAAGAAUAAGGAGAAGAUGAGACAAGUAAAUUUAUCCAUGUAUAUUAGUUUUAAUGUUCAAAAGAAAAUUUAUAUACCGACUCCAAACAAGCUGCAAUAUACAAAUGAAUUAGUUACAUAUAAAUAGUAAAAGGUGAUCAUAUGGACCAAGAAAUUUUUGUGUAUAUUCUUCUCAAGUGACUUAUUGUGAUUCAGCUAUGUGCUGAAUGCAUGUCCAAUCUCAAGGAAGGAUGGUCCGUGAGAUUAAAAACACCCUUAAUUAAAAUCACAACACAACAAUGAACAAUCAUGAUAAAUUUUGUUGAUGAUAUUUUUAUGGGAUGCAUCUGUGAAUAACUGAAAAGGCAAAAAAAAUACAAUAAAACAUUUUUUGGAGAUCUUCAACACAAUUUUAUCCCCAACAAUUUACUCACAUAGGUCUGAUCUAAUGCAGUAUACGACAAGUCCAGUUUUCACAUAAACUCAGGCGUUCUGCAGUUAUAUGAUAAUUUUGCAGAUAGGGGCUUGUCAAUUAAACAUUCGCUAACCUGUGCAUGAACGCGCUUCUUUCGUGUAACAGCCAUACCAGAUUGGCUUAUCUGUUGCGAAGUCGGUCCACUAAAAGUGGCAUCCUUGAUCUGGGAUCCAAGGGGGUUAAUAUGAACUUUUCCCUCAUUUUUCUUGUACUGCAUGUUCACAGAAGUCAUUCCUCCUUUUGUAGUGCAAGAGUUGCAUGCAGGACCUACAAUUCUUUCCAUUGAAGAAGUCCGAGAUCUCAUUCUGACAGGAUCAUCAGAGGCCUUCAGUUUAACAGAGUACCUUUCUCUUGCACGGUAUAGCUCUAUCCUACGUCGUUCCACUGCAUUUAAGUCCUCCUUGACAUACACGAGAUCAUUUUGCACCUAACAGAGAAGAAUAGUAAGAGGAAUCAUAAUCUCUACAAGGAAUUACCAAAAUAUUUCUCAUUAGAAUUGUAAAGAGUCUCUCUUGUUGAAUUUCAACAAAGUGGACUUCAUGUAAAUGAUAUCCCAUCCCAUCCCGUCCAUAUUUGAAAGAUAUUCCGUUCAAUAUUAUCUGCAACUAAACAUCAUUUUCAUAUCAUUACUCAUUUACCUAAACAAUGAAGCAUAACUUAACUCAAUCGUCAGAAACAUUAACUGAUGACAUCAACCCAAGGCAACAGAAGAACCACUGAGAAAAAUGAGGCGCUUUCCCAAAAUUCAAAGAGGAUUCAACAUUUUUUUUUAUUGGAAAUUAUGAAAUGCAUGGCUCUAAAUUCAGAUUUGAUUUCAUGUUCCUUUGAAAUCAGCUUUCACCCGGCUGGUUUCUUUUAAAAUUCAAACUUAAAAAAGUUACAAUUGAAGUAGAUUUCUUGCCGACUGACUUUAUUUAAAAUCAGCUUCUCUUCACUCAACGUACAAACGUUUGGAAAUUAUUUUUCUUUAGUAGAUAGUUUGGGAAAGUUUCAUGAAUUUUAUAAUAAUGUAUUACGCAAUUAUGCAAAAUACAUAAAAUGUAUUACCAGUAACCAAAAUUCAUCAAAUCUACCAGCUAAAGCAUAGCUAAUUCCUCCAAUACCAUACAGCUUCACUGGGAUUUUGGAGGAGGAACUUUACUCAGCAAGCAUACAAAAUUAUUCAAUUUAAUUAGAAAAGCUAACAAAUUAUAAAUGCCAAAUAAAUAUCUCAUUAUCUUACUCACAUAAACCACUUCUCUUACUUCAAAUUUAUUAUGACAAACCUCAUUGAGUUCAUUAGCUUUUUGCUUCCUUAAGCAGUGUAAGAAAUCCAGCAGAAUUUGCAUGUUUCUCUCUGCUUCUUCUUGUUCCAAUUUUCUCUUUUUCUCUGCCAGCAGAGACAAUAAAGAGUCUAACUCUUUCACUGAUACUUCACAACCCUGUCUAAGGAGAAAAUACAUCAAGCCUCUGCAGAAAGAGCAGAUAUGGGAAGUAGCUUAGGAUUGAGGGAUUGCGUGCUUCACUGAAUUAUUAGGAAUAAACUAUUCAGGUUGAGUAAAUAGAAAUUAGGUUAACGAAAAAUUUCCUGGUUGGCACCAUAAUCAAAACGACAAUGGGUUUUGUUACAGUAAUAUAGUCACAAUAACUCGUGAUUACGAAAACAUGUUAAGCACAGAUGCAGCAAAUGCCAUAUCGAGGGGUGACAAGAUAGUUAUCCAUUAUUGUGAUUUGUGCAAAACCGAAAAGUUGUUUUACUACCAUUACAAUUUAUACUCAUCAUAUUGAGCCCGCUAUUUAAUGUGAUGCAUGCCCAUUAUACCAAUAAGUGCAGGAUACUUAAUAUUAUUCAGGUGGAGGCGGUCUAAUGAGUUACAUGUGUGAUGUUAGGUGUGGAAACAGAACCUAGAAAAGGAGUCUGAAAAUAUCUUAGGCUUGCAAUUAACAAAAAUGAAAAGAUUGAGAAGUGGUGAUGGAAAAUAUCACAAUCUAUGUAGAAUCCUAAAAAAAAAAAAUAACUGCAAGACUAAGAAACCAACAAUGCUUUUGACCUGUUGAAUAGCUUAUAUACUUUGUAUCUUGUGGAAGAGAAAAAUACUCAAGUUUGUUACAGAAAGGAGAAAAGGUUGAAGAAAUCUUUUAUGCUCUCUAUAUUGGAUUAAGGAAUAUUUUGCUGAGAGAUAUUGGUCUUUUGCUCACUUCUUAGACGAUAUAUACAAAUAUACAUAAAUAGAUAUAUUUGUCGGCUCUGAUUGGAAAGCACCUCAUUUUGGGUGGAUAUAAUUUACCUUUCAAAAAUAACAUUUUGAUAAAUCGGAAAAGGAAGAAAGAGAAGCGAAAAGCAACAAAUGAAAAUACAACAAAAUAAAGUCAACAGAACUGAAUGUUCUUAUCAGUAUCUAAUAAAACAUACUUCUUAAAUUUUUACCAGCUAACUUGGAAGACCUAAUGCUUCUAGUCAAGUUCCACUUUUUUUCAAAAAUUGUUCAUAUGGAAAACAUAUAUAUACUGUUGAUACAACAAAUAUAAAUUACUUGGAUAUAAGAAACAAUGCCAAAAGGUAUCCCUUUCAAGGUGUUUAUAAGUGGCAUACAAAAGAACAUAUUCUAAAGUCCUUCAUUUAUUGUGUAUAUAUGUCUAACACCCAACACCCACCACCCACGUAUGAAACACUUCAGGAAAGAGAAAAACUAGCUGAAGAACCAUAACUCUUCUGGAUGAGAAGGCACCUAGAGGCUAAAACUCUUGAAGUCUUACCAAAAGAAUGGACAUUUGUGCAUAAUAUCACAAUGAACUGAGCACUCGAUUGCAGUUUCUUUUAGUAAACUAGAUGAAUUAAGGAUAUAAUAGCAAUCAAGCAUAGAUGGCAAAGAAAAUUUCUUAAACAAUAGUAUUCAGGAGUUAAUUUUCUAUAAACAUUAUAUGGUGCCCGAUAAGAGCAAGAAAAGUAAGACCAAUAGGCAGGGUGGGUGAGGAACCAAAGAGAAAUUAUAUCUACCUCAGAUGCAGGAAGUUCAUCUAUAACCAAUGACCAAGUAAAAGUAGCUAAAGUAGAGUAAAAACAACCACGGAAACUAAGGAGAAUGAAGAAACAUACUAAAAAAGAAACUAAAUCCCAUUUAUAUCUUAACUAAAUAAUAUUCAAUGAAUUCUUAAAUAAGAAUCACCUGUUCCAAUGACUGACGGAAUUGUUCUACAGGAGAUGCGGCUUUUGAUAGUUGACGAGCAGAUGUCUUCUUCAGUAGCUACAAAUUUGGUACAGAGAAACCUUAUCACAAUAAGCUGCAUUGUGAAGCAAAAUAAUUUCAAGACGCAAACUAGGUAAGGAACCAUGCAAUGAAAGCACGCAAAUAGUUUCGAACCGCCGGUAUAUCAUCACACACUCAAUGAAUGAAAUCAUCUCUCAGAGGUUUAAAAAUAAAAUAAGUAACUUGCGAAUACAAACAGCAAAAAUUAACAGAAUAAAAUAAACGCAGCAGAUUUUCAUUUGUGCAAUUAAAAGUAAAAACAACCUAAUUUGAAUCAUGCUGCAUAAAACAAAAAAUGGCUAAAUAGGAACAAAAUCAACCUUAUCGAGGAGGAAAUUGGGGAAGAGCUGAGAAGGGGUAAGAAAGUGAGAGCAACAAGGGCAAUCGCUCUUGUUCUGGAGAUGAGUGACGAUGCACAUGUAGCAAAAGCUAUGGCCGCACGCUGUUAAGAAAGCAUCCUUUAUCAUCUGCAUACAUAUAGGGCACAUCAGUUCCUUCUCCUCCGCCUCCGCCUCCGCCUCCUCCAAAGCUUCAUCUCCUUGCAGCUCCGCCGCCGGCACCACCACUCCGAUCGAGCUGUCACCCAUCCCUAGGCGAUUGUUGUGAAGUGGAUCGAGAAAUAGGGAAAGAGAAUCGAAUCGCGUCAAUUGUUGUGCCUCUGGGGUUGGUGGGCCUCAAUCUGACAUUUUUCACUUUUCUGCUCAUCCACUGUUCACCAGAAAUUCCUCAUUUUCACUUUAUUAAUUCUCCACUUAAAUAUUUUUUAAAUGAUUAUUAAAGUUAUUUUUCGUCCUUUUUUUUUAUUUUUAUUUUCUUCCCCCCUAGAAUGCUUAUAUUUACAAAUUACUUUAAUCUAAAAAACAAUUAUGAAAUUUGAUUCUUUUUUAAGUAUAAGAACUUCAAUUUUUAAUCGCAUAAAACAGUUUUUACUUUUGUCUAAUAAAUAUCAAGUCGCGGCUAUUUGCAAUAGUAGGUUCAUUCAGUGCAAGAUCAAAUUAACUUUUAAUAUACAAAUAUUAUAAUAGCAUUACUUGUUAAAAAAUACAAUAAAAAUUGUUGUAUUACCAUAUACUAAAAAUAAAAACCAUAAAAAUUUAACCACAUACCAAAAUUAUCAUAUUUUCCAUCUUUCAAAAUCCACAAAAAAAAAAAUUCAUUCCUCUUACAAACUUCAGUAUUCAAAUUUCUCAAAACUCAACAAACCUUUCAAAGGCAAAUGUGGACUCAAAAACAUCAAAAUGGAACAUUCUACGGUGGAAGAAUUCAAGGAGGUAUGAAUUUAUAUGUUUUAUUAGUUAAGUUAUCGUUUUUCAAAAACUUUUUGCGCAGACACGAUUCGACAUUUACAUAUUGAAUUUUGUCCCCAAAACUCACAUUCAGAUGUCGAGUGAAACGUACUUAUUUUGACAUCUUAGCAUCCAUCGGAAUGCACAAAAUUCGACGCUUAGAUGUCAUGCCCAGUGUACAGAAAAUCAACAUUUGGUUGAUGUCAAAAAAUAUUGGCAUUAAACGACCUGCAAAUGUCGAGCAAAUAUACCCAAAAUCGACAUUUGCACGUCGAGUUCCGUAGUAGAUCGACAAUGUUCUAAAAAUCAAAUCUAACUCAAAAUGAUCAACUAUUAAGCAUAAUCUACAACCACAUACUUGUUGAAAGUUCUAAAUGAUAUAUUUUAACAAAAAAGUUUGACUUUUAAACGCUCAUUCAACUUUUUGCCCUUUUAAAGGGGUUUGGUCUUCGGUGUUAGAUUGCAUGCGUAUGUGUUGGAGCACUCUUCAUCUUACUGUGAAGGAUUGGGUAGCGGUGGCGGUGGCGGUGGCGACGGCGAACUCAGGCGGCAAAGAUGGAGGGUUUUGGUGUUGCAUGUUAUGCUCUGAUUUGUUUUCUUAUUUCGUUUUUUUUUUUCUUUUAUUUUUUUUGGAAACUUAAACUUUGUACUUUGGUAUUUCGAAAAAACAAGAGGAAAAUAGGUGAUGGUUCUAUUAGUCAUUUCAUUAUAUUUUUUAGCGUCUUUCUUUUUAUUGGUCUUACACUUAGUUAAACGAGUAUUUUCAGAAGCGGCAUCCUAAAUAUUAUUACUAUUGAAAUAAAAAUAUAGGGGGGAGAUAGGGCCCUUAAACAUUCAUUUAAUUGGCCCAACAAUAUUUUAUCAUUGUGAUACUCAAUAAUUUUUCUACGGGUGAAUUGUGUUUUGCACCCCAAAUUUGAUAAUGAUUGGCAGUUUGCAUCUUGAAAAUAUAGAAUUAGCAAAAUCCACCCUCAAAUUAUAUCUCUCGGCAGAUUGCAUCCUAUAUUUUUUAGAUUUUAACCAAAAAAAUCAAUUGAACAAGAGGAUACUAACUUUUUAUUCUUGAACAUCUUUUUUAUUUUUGAUUUUGUACUUUUAAAUUAUUAUUUUGCUUGCAUGUUAAACAAAUACAAAAAAGCAACUUAUGGUUUUAUUUUGUUAGUCGAGUUGAACUAAAAAUUAUAUGUAAAAUACAUAAUAUAAUUUUUUCCUUUUAAUUUAAAAGAUAAUAAAAUAAUCCCAUUAAAAAAAUAAAUUAUUGUGUAUUUAGAUUAUGUAUAAUGUAUUUAAUUACUUUAUUCUAUGUUGUUUUUAAAUAGUUUAAUUAAUGAUUGUUUAGUUUAUAUUAUUUUAAAUAUCUUUACUACAUUUUUUCAAAACAAACUGAAACUUAAAAAAAACUAAAAACCCUAAUUAUAUUUUUCAAUCAUCUAAUUUCUACCAAUUACUCAGUUCCUUACAAAAAUUCAAAUCAAAUUAAAGUCAGAUUAUAUUUUGGGCAAAUUAUGAGAAACCUCCUGAGAUAAGAUCUAAUUAUGAAAAAUCCUUCAUUUAUGUAAUUACUAAUUACGAAAAUUUCUCCGACGUAUGUUGUCGUUUUACACAGCUCUCCUACGGUGUUACUUUUGACAAAAUCUUUUUAAUUCCGUUGAAUAUUUCUUUGAAAAUGUCAUGUUUGACCUUGAUGGUUAAUUAUAAGCAUACUAAUUACUUAGGGGCUAAAUUGUAAUAUAUUUACAAAAAAAGUAAUUUUUUACAAUUUUAAAAAUAUAAUAUAUUUCUUCAUAAUAUAAUUAUUAAAAGGAAGAUGUAUAUAAAAAGAACUAAACAUAUCUUCUAACAUUAAUUUUUUUAUUUGUUUUGUAUUUCUUUUUAUAUUUUAUAAUUUUUAUCCAAUAAAAUUGAUAUUACAUAUUUUGGAAAAAUAUUCUCGUAUUUCAAUGCCAAAUCUCGUUGAAUCAUCAUUUGUCAGGACCGAAGAGUGUAAGUUCCUUAGCUUGGACAUGACAUUUAGCACAUGUUGCUAUUCCUGGAUCUAGAGGGGAGUACGUUCGGUGGAAUAAUUUCUUAGAUAUUUAGAGUGAUUAAGCACAUGUUGCUAUUCCUGGAUUUAGCACAUAUAAGUCAUCGUUUUUACUUCUUUCUUUCGAGAGAUAUUAGAGUGAUUGUUAAGAAUUAAGAAUUUAAUUAACUGGUCCUCUCGAGAUGGUUUUCUAGUUUCAUUUAUUUAAGUCGAGGUUCUUUUUAGAGCUUUUGAUUCGGAUUUGACGUCCUCUCUGUUGGUUUAAAAAAAAUUAAGGGUAAAUAGCACUUAACCCCUUCGUAGUUUGGACAUUUUGCACAUGACCCACUUAUGGUAUGAAAUUAGGCACAUAACCCCUUUUUAGUUUGGACAUUUUGCUCAUGACCCCCUUAUGAUAUGAAAUUAGGCACGUAACCCCCUUGUGGUUUUGACAUUUUGCACAUGACCCCCUUAUGGUAUGAAAUUAGGCGCAUUACUCCCUUGAAUGUAAAACUGGAAAAGACUAAAUUAACCCUAACCCUAAAGAGUACAGACUUUGUUCCUUAAAAAGUUAAAAUUCAAUAACAACUAUAAUUUAAUAUACUAUAUAGAAAAACCGAUUCUUCCAAUGUCUCAUUUCUAGGUCCAAUUUAGAAUAAUAAUCAUAAUCAUAAUAAUAUUAAAGUUUUGAAAUAUGUAGAAUUAUUUUAUCGAAUUAUUAUUGAACAAAUAAAUUGAUAGUUCAUAAUUUUAUAUCGAGGUUAAUUCUUUUAUAUUUGAUUUGAAGCAUAUGAGAUUUUUAAAUUGGUUUCUAAAAUUUAAUAAAUUUUCAAUCGCACAAUAACUAGUAUUAUAUACCUUUUGUGUUUUAAAAUUAAAAAAAACAAUAAUAUAUUAUAUUUCUCAUUUUACAAAAAAGUACAUUAAGAUUUUCAUUUUAUAGAAUAAUUAUUUUCAAAUUAAAAGGAAAGAAAUUUUGACUUGAUAGAGUAACCAACAAACAGUUGGUAUAGUUGUAAUUUAGCUAAACUUUAGAGGUAGUUUAGUCUUUUCCAAUUUUCUAUUUAAGGGGUUAUCUAAUUUCAUACCAUAAGGCGGUCAUGUGCAAAAUGUCAAAACCACAAGAGGGUUGUGUGUCUAAGUUCAUACCAUAAGGGAGUUAUGUGCAAAAUGUCCAAACCACAAGGACGUUAUGUGCCGAAUUUCGUACCAGAAGGGAAUUAUAUGCAAAAUGUCCAAACCACAAAAGGGUUUAGGUGGUGUUUGCAAAUGAUUAUUUAAAAGCAGAAGUUAGUGAUUGUGAGUUAAGUCAGUUUUAAGUGCUUAUUUUUAAAAGUUGGGGGUGUUUGCAAAUAUUCCGGAAAAUGAACUUAAAUUGAAAAAACAGGGUUAGGGGUGCUUAAAAAAAUAGAUUAAAGCAGAUUAUUUUAAGAGAAGCAAAAGCAAAAAUUGAUUUUGCAAACAUCUGAAAACAUAUUAUAAACAAAAAAAAAACUCAUAAUCACUUUUAAAAAGCUUUUGCAAACACCACCUAAAUGCUAUUUACCCAAAAAUUAAAUUACACAUUAUCUGCCAUUCCCUAAGAUAUAAUAAUCAACAAAAAAUAAUCAUUGAAGGGUUUAUUUUAUCAAGAUUUGUUUUCCAGCCGUUUACUCAUCUUAUAAAGAUAUAGAAAAGAACAUUGGUUCUCAAAAGCUCAAUCAAAUGCUUUUAGGAUAAAUUUUAAAAAACCAAGACUUGAAAGGCUCAAACGAAUCGAAGAAUGGUCAAAUCAUCUUCCUAAUACUAAGUUAUUCUACAGUUCGCUUCAAAGGGUACUAAAUUAAAUUAUAUAGUUGAAGAUAGUGUAAUCUAGCAUAAAAGCCUCUAUAUUCUAUUAUAGUACCCACGACUCAACCAACUCACAACUUAUUAGUUUCUAUGGCAACUUACUUUGGAUAUUAUAGUCAUCCAUAGUCGACUAUAGUCAUUUUGGAAACCUUAGAUCCGCUCAUAUGAACCCUAGCCCCGACCAUUCGAUUCAUAGCGUCACCGAACAAUUGAAGCACUCCAAAAUCGUCUCCAAUGGCCCGUAACAUGUUAGAUCUAUUACAACUGAAGAGAUUAGGCCCGUGAUUAAAGAAGAAGCAAACCUGAGGUUUGAUCGAUUCGAACCCGACCCUUCUUGUACCAACUUAUCAUGACCCCACAAUCAGUUGAACUAUACUCACGUAGGCGUAACCGGACCCUUCUUGUACCAACUUACCACCCCGCAAACCAGUUUAGCUAUACUCAUGGAGGCGUAACCCGACCCUUCUUCAUUGUAGGAAAAGUUGCAAUAUAAUCUAAACCAACCAUCGGUGUUAUUUGUAUAUAUCUUUCAUAAAUUUCAAUUGAGACAAUCUUCCUAGUAUUUUAUUAUUAAUCAAUAGAACUUUUUACUAUUUUUUCAUGUAUGUUAGUCUAAUUUUUUUUUAAAUACAAAUAUAUCAUAACAAAUUUCUUUUUUUAUGUACACAAUUAAGAUUUGCUUCUCAUUAAUAAUUCACAAAUAAGUGAACUUCAUUUAAAAGACAAUAUUAUUACUUUUUCAUCAAUUUAUUUGCAAAUUUCACAUUCAAAAUUCACAUACGCAAUAUUCUGAUCAAAGAAACAAUUCAAUAAUCAUUAUUAUUAUUAUAUAACAUCACAAAUUAUGGGCAGAAUCUCAAACUUUGUCACUAUAUGUACGUCGAGGGUAAUACCGUCUUUUCCCCCACCCAACUACUCGUACUUUUUGUUAAAUAAAUAAUAUAAAUAUAAUACAUCGAAUAUAAUAAAUUAUUUCGAGAAAUAUUAACUUAAAUAUAAUAAUCGUACACGGGUGCAGGAAAAUCUUUUGCAAGGAAUUCGCAGUUAAAAAUUCCAGACUUCUUCGAAGAAGAUCUGAAGGCUGAAUUUUAGAGAGAGAAAUCAACCUUUUUUUUUUUUAUUUUUUUUUAUUUUAACAACAAAUAAGAAUGAUGAUAGAAUAGAAUUGAAUCCGAGUAAUGAUGUUUGUUGCUCCUGAUUUUCUUUUUUAAUUUAAAAUAUUAUAUAUAUAUUUCCAUUAAAAAGUGGCGUGAUUUCUGAAAAAAAAAAAAAAAGAAAUUCGUCAAAUGAUCAUAAUCACGCGCAUGUGUGUUGAGUUGGUGUAGUAUUGAAGUCGAAAUCUGGAGUAUAAUUAUCGUAUUAAGUACAGUGUGUGCGUGUUUAUAAAGUAUUCGGAUAAUCGAUGCCGGUGAAUCGUAAAUUCCAGAGGAAUGCUUCAGCGAUCGAUUCAGUUGAAGGUAUGUAUCCAAUUUUUCCUUUUUCCUUUUCAAAGAUCAAACCUUUUUUUUUUUUUUUUUUUUUUUAAUUUGGGUGCCUGAUUAAUUUUUUAUUCGAUUUUGUUUAUAAUCGUUGAUGAUCGAUGUGUUUUCCGUUAGCGGAGAUAACGGCGAUUGAUUGAUUCAUGUAUUCUAUUUUCCAAAAUAUUAAUGGAUCGAUUUUUUGGUUUUUUGAUUUUUUGAUUUUUUGUUUAAAUUGCAGAGAUGAUGAGAAGGGUGAAGGUAGAAGGAAAUGAUGAAAAUGGUGAAGUGGGGGAUGAACCGGUUGUGUACCCGGAUCGACCCGGUGAACCAGAUUGCAUAUAUUAUUUGAGAACAGGGGCUUGUGGUUAUGGAAGCAAUUGCCGUUUCAAUCACCCCUUCAAUAAUGCAGGAGGACAAGUGUGUAGUUAUUAUGAACAAUUUCAUCUAUUUUACACUCUUACCUGUUCGUCCUUUGUUCGUCUAUUUUUAAACGAUUUCUUUGUCGAUGAUGGCUAGGUGUACGGUGUUAAAAACACCACCAUUGAACUACCGGAAAGAGCUGGACAACCAGAUUGUGGGGUAAUCGCUUCAUUUUUUUCUCUCUUUCUAAUGGAUUGUGGUGCGAUGAGUUCAUGUGUUGCAUUCGUAUUUAUAUUUUUAUUCUGGUAAAAUCCUCUUUUGAUUUUCAUUUCUUUCAUGCGUAUUGCAUACUGAAACCUAAUCGUUUUGUUUGGGUAAACAUCUUUUCAAGAAGUAAUAUAUUGUUAUUGUUACCUUAAAAAAUGCCUAUACACGGUAAUCUUGACUAAACACAGUACCAGUUUGGUUAUCACUAUUCUAUGAUGUUCAUUUUAGAUUGAUUUGAAAAAAAAAAUCCCCUUUUCACUCGCAAUAUAAUUCUUUUUACUAAGCAAACGAGUCAUUGGUUCUUAGAUUCAAAAAGCAGCAACAAUGCUGCUUCUUGCUCGUUUUCGGAGUAAUUUGAAUAGGGAGUUCAUCCUCAUUUACUUUUCCUUUACGGUAAUGUAGCAUGUUACGUUUUGCAAGUAAUUGACUAUUGACUGUUGAGUUAUGUGCUUAUUAUUUUUUAUUAAUGCUAGUUAAAUUAUCUCGGCAUUUUGGUUGAUAUUUGCAUUUUUCUUGUCCUUGUCGUAUAACUGGUGCUGUAACUUCCUUCUGAUGCGACCGACUUUUUGUUUCAGUGACCUUAAGUUCUUUCUUUUACGUAUUCACUGAACUUGUCAACUUUGAAGACAUAUGUUUAUGAAAUAGUAACUUGUUUUGGGAUUGUCAAUAAUUGAAUUUCUUACUAAAUAGGCAAAGUUGUGUCUACUUAGUACUUACUCGAACAUGACGAGAGCUUACUCUUUUCUAAACCCUUGAUAUCCGUAGAUGCCAAUAACUUCCGUAAACGAUCAAUACUGUGGCGUUUAUUAUAUUAGCUAAACUGUUUGAGGUAUCAUAGAAUCAGCCAUUUGGUCUGCAUUGCAGAAGCUAAUAAGCUUAUGCUUAUUACUAUUAAUUCUAACAUAGUUGUAUGUUCAAACUGUUGCUAUUGCAUUACAAAGCGAUAGCUAAUACAUUUUAUUUAAUGGUCUAUAAACGCGUUGAGUAUAUCCACUGGUUUUGUUUGGUACUCUCGGGUCAGGAUUCUUACUGGAUCUCUAAAGUAGGGGUCGAUUCAAUUUUAUUUUUAGGGUAAAACUUGUUUUAAUCGGUGGGCCGUUAUCUUGCAGUAUUAUCUGAAGACAGGCACUUGCAAAUAUGGAUCUACAUGUAAAUAUCAUCACCCCAAGGAAAGGCAGGCUGAUGUUUUGACGAAUAUGUUGGGCCUACCAAUGCGUCAGGUCUUUAUUUACAUCUAUUGCCAUGUUCGAGUAUUCUCUUUGUAGUGAAGUUAUGGGCUUAAUUAUUAGUAUUUAUUUAUUUAUUUAUUCAGGAUUCAAGGGCAUGUCCGUAUUAUAUGAGGACUGGAAUAUGUAAAUAUGGAUAUGCGUGCAAGUUUCAUCACCCUCAACCCGCGUUAGCUCCAAAUGUCUUACCUGCUGUUGUUGGAACUGUCUAUGGUGCAUCUGCAUCGUCAGCUGUGCCUUCGUCUGCUGUGCCUCAACUUUCAGCAAAGGCGACUUAUUUCCCUACUUCUCUUCAACUUCCGCAAAGCUACAUGCCCUUAUUUAUAUCUCAGUCGCAAGGAUGGAAUGCAUACGCGGUAUUAAUAUUCUGCUCUUUUUUGCUUCAAAUAUUUUUCGGGUUCCAUAUUUUUCUUCGUCUUUUAGUAUGUUUUAUUCUAGAAAUGAAUUCCGAUAAACGCAGGUUUGUUGCAAUUUUUAUAAUUAUAAUUAUUUGUUUCUUACGGAAGUAACAAAUACUGUCUAUUGCUGUGAAUAGGGAGGCAUGAAUCAUUUAUCUAACGGAAUGAUGUCAGCGUCGUAUCUGCCUGAAAGACCGGAUCAACCAGAAUGCCGUUAUUUUAUGAACCAUGGGAGUUGUAAAUAUGGACCCGACUGCAAAUAUCACCACCCGAGAGAGAAAUUAGCAUCCAUUUCUUUUGGCCCUCUUGGCCUUCCUUUAAGACCUGUAAGUUGCUUCGUAUCUUUAUCUUCACCAUUACCAUCACUUUGUAAUUAACUACAAAAAACUGCCAUCACUUUGUUGUCGUAAAACAAUUUUCUUUGUCGUUGUGCUUAAUUCAUCUUCUUUACAUUCUUUGUGUGACGACUAGUUCAUCCUCAAAAUCCACAGUAACAUGUUCGAAUGCUCUGAAGAUAGCUGAUUUAUGACGAGUCAACUUGUAUAUGAAAUGUUUCUAUUCGUUCGGUUUUGGGUUCAACUUGUAGAUAUCAACUAGACUUAGUGAAAGCACUUCACAUUUAGUCUUGAUUUUGCUCGUCUUAAUCUUGGUUCAGUCCGCAUUGCAUUUUGAACUUGUGGCUUGUUUCCUUUUCUGUUCUUUAUCAACCCCACAUGGUUUUGAAAUAAUAAUUACUCAAUAACUACGAUUCGAUACUUGCGUGCUUGAAAUGCAGGGACAAGCUAUAUGUUCACACUACAAUCUUUACGGGAUUUGCAAAUACGGGCCCACAUGUAGAUUCGAUCACCCGAUGGAUGGAGGAUACCAUCCGUAUGCAUAUAGUAUGAGUCUCCCUCCUUUGGCGAAUGCUUAUAUCCCUAAUAUUAAUAAUACUCCCAAUAUUCAGAGAAUUUUGCCAAUAAACGAGACUACAUCUUCGAAUUUGAGUGAGUGGAUUAACAAUGGAGCAGCUACUGCAAGUAACAACAAGAAUCGUACAAAAAGCAUUGAAGGAGAUCCUUCUGAUUCUCUUCCUUAUUCUUCUAAAGCAUCUUCCGAGGUAAUUCACAACGAAUCCGAUUGACAAACAGAGUGAAUCGAGGCAUUGCUUUAUUUUUGCCUUUUCUUUUUUUUUUUUUUUUUUUUUUUCUUUUUCCUCCCUUACAUACACAUCAUGUCUUUUGAGGUGAAUGUACUGUCAAAUCGAAUUGAAGUUAAUUUAUUUUAUCGGGAAGGAUUUUUUUUUUUUUUUUUUUCGUUUGUUCGCUUGGUUUCGGGGAAUGAGGUGAGAAUGAGAAGGAUUGAGAGGAAAUGCUGUUUUGUAUGUGUGUUUUUAUUUUACAAAGAAUUGUUACUGAAUAUUCUGAUUUUGUUUUCCAGUUCAGUAUAACAAUUAAGUUAAACCCCUAUUUUGGUGCAAGGAAUGUAGUUAGUGAUUUCUUCCAUUUCUUGUGCCAAAAUACUGCAAUGAUAAACAAGAAUUGAAGGGCAAUAAAGUAAUAUUGUUACUCACACUUUCUAAGUAAAAAAAAAGAGCGUAUAUAUCGGAUUAGUUUAAAUUAUAUGAUAUUAGAUUAAUUUUUUUACUGACUAAUUAAUUAAGAUUUUCCGUUUUAAUAGAAUUUAAAAAAUAAUAAUUUGUCACUGCGCACACACACACAUAUACAAACCGAGUAAAUUACAGGAAAAUAUAAUAGGAUACCUAUGAAAAUUGACAUUGAAUCUCUGAAAAGACGAUAAAGUUCACAAUUCUUUUUUUUUUAAUGAGUAAAAUGCUUGCAUUAAGAAAUAGAAAAUUAAAGAGUCUACGAUCGGAAAACCUCCAUCACAAAAACAAAUCAAAGGAAUAGAAUCAUGGAGACAAAUCCAUUCCAAUUAUAAGAAAAUGCCCAUUUAUCGAGAUUGUGGGCUGAAAAGUUCGCAUUACGAGAUACGCUCUUGAAUUACGAGACUUGUAUAUAUUUGAAUUUUGUAGAUCCUACACCUAAAUAAUACACCACACAUAGUUGACAAUACAUGCACGCAUCCAAAUAGGCUCUAACCUCUCACCAAACACCGUUACGGAAGAGACUUCUGGUACCACUAGGCUAAAAUUUAUAGAUUCGAGUAAACCAUAUUUUUGAAAGAAUUGUGAGAAAUCGGCCAAUAACAUGAGAAUUAUUAGAAUUAUGUCUAUUUGGUCUAUCAAUUAUUUUUCAAUAAUUGAACUUAUAAUUUUUGUUUAAGUAUCGUCUGAAAUUAUACCCAACGUGACAUAUCUGAGCGUGAAAUAUUAUGGAUAUUAUUAUUCCUAAAUGCAAUAAAAUUUGGCGAAUUCUAAUAUGAAAUAUUCUGAUUUCGGAACACGAAUUGUCAUUUUGAAAUUUUCCAAUUUGUUUUGAACGAAACUGAAUUUUAUUUUCUCUAACUAAUUCCAACCCAAUUCGUCCAAUUUUGCCCCCCUGAAACCCGAACAAACAGUUUUGCCUUUGCAAGAAAUACCUGCAAGAUAUACCAACCAAAUUUUGGAUAAAUAUGUUAAUUUGGGGAGACCGUGUUCAAGAAGGUUUUGUAGAAUCUACACCUAGUGAAAUACGCCAUGUAGUUUUAAACCGUAGAUCUACACAUAAUAACACACAUACCCAUGUGUAUGUGUGCUUAGUUAGUGGGUACUUAUUUAUGAAAAUGAAAAGGAAUUGGACAAAUGUCGAAAAUUUCCUUUAAUUUCAAAUAAAAAAAUAAAAUAAAAAGAAUUCAGAUAGUCUGUCAUCAUACUCUCAUUUACCUAUAAGUAAAUAAAUAUGGUAUCUACUCGUUUUCAGCUUUACGUGCAAGGGACAGAAGCGUCUUUUGGCGAAGAAUCGGAAAUCUUAGAAGCAGCACUUUCUUGGAGUUUAGGUCUUCUAAGUGGCCUUUUUAAGAACUUUAGCACUUUGUGAAAUCUUUGUUGCUUAAUUGUCCCCAGUAAUUUCAUCUGUUCUUCCCGAAGCUUUCUGUUCGCAUACCAUGCUCCACCGCGCCAACCCAAACCAUAUCUGCGAAUUUAAUAACAAAUCAAGAGAAUUUCCUAAUAUUUUAUAUUUAUUCGAGCUACCAAAAAUCAAAAUUCGUUUUUUCUUUUUCCACAUAUCUACUGAAUAUUUUAUAUGGAGAUCUUUAAGCAUAUUAUCUGUUCUUCCUAAGAAAAAAAAUCACGAAAAAUAAAUUAAAAUGCAUGUUUAACUGACCCUAUAAUCAAACUGGUUCCAGCAGUUGCAACACAAGCUGGGAUGCUAACAGUUCUUGAAACAAGUCUUCUGAUUUCAGGCUCUUUCAUCUCGUAAUUGCUUUUCAUCUGCCAUAAUAAAUAUCAUACUCAAAUUGAAUUUUUUUUAAAGGAUAGAGGAAAGGCAAAGCAACGAAACUGACUUAGAAAGUGGAAAACAAAGCUACAUUAAAUUGCCGAUACCGAAAACUAUACAAUAUAUGAACUGAUAAACUGAAUGAACAUCAUGGUCAAGCAGCAUAGCGCCAGAAUAAUGUUGAAUUAAAGUCAAUAGUCACUUAAGAAAUUAUUAGUUGAUAUAUCGGAGCAGUGGUCCGCUUUAUUUCGUGUAAACAGCCUACAUUAUGUAUACUUAAAACACGUCCGGUCGUCUCUAAACUUAAACACCAUAUUUUGUAUGCAAAGAUUACACAAAACCUUAUAAAAAUAACCACAAUCCCCAAUCCGUCAUCUACUGCAUCUCUUAAUGAUGCAUAAAACCAAGUCAAUUACAAAAUUCUUAAUCCAAGUAUAUUGAAGAUCAAGGUUUAAACAAACACAUGUAUAAAUAAUUCAAGAUUGGAAUUGAGAGGAGGCGAGAGGGGAAAACGAAGCUUAUUAUUUGGUAGGGUCUAUGUUUAAGUAGUCGUAUGAAAGACAUUGAGGAUUAGGUCAUGGCCGUUACACUGGAAGUAGAUUGUAUAUGUAAAAUAUAAUCUAUAAUUACAUAGUGGGGUAGCUAACAGUUCUUUCUAGACCAAAUACUAAAUAUUUUGUUGAAUCCCGAUAAUAAUAAACAAACAAUUUAAUGUUAUAGUGACAAGGGAAUAAUAAAAAGAUGAGUUUGAAAUAGCUGAUUUCCAAAUCUUAUUCAUCUACUGGCUCCAAGAAUUUCAUGGUUUUUGUGUGUUGCAAGAAGCAAUGGUAGAGAGCUUAAAAUAUUAGGAAAUGCUUACAGCUUUCUCAAUUGAUUGAAGCCUUUCUUCAACUCUUGACUGAUGAAGGUGCCGUAAAGAAUAACCUGCAUCAACAUCCACGUCAUAUGUGUCGCAAGUCUUCAACAAACAGCUAAGUAGCAAUCUGCCAUGCCAUUUUAAUUAGUUCUUGAAAUAUAUUUUCAAUCAAUUCAUGGGCCAUAAAAAGCCAAGAAUCCGUAUAUUUUGGCUUUUUCCCUAAUCUAUUUCGAGUCACAGUUCUCGAUCGAAAUGAACCGCACAGCGUGUAAAAAUAUACAAUUCCCUUCAUUUAUCGUGUUUUAAAAGUUUCAGUAGGCUAGUAGUACUGUCGCAUACACACUUAGAAAUACUUCCAUUCAAAUUUUUGUACUCCAAUUCUAAUAAUGCAGUUCCAAAAAUCCAACACAACAAUUAGAACCCUUAAAAAUUCCAGGCACAAACAAAGAUUGAACUUUCAGAAAAUCCCAAUUUCUGAAAAAUACUAGAAUUACAUAAUAGGUUUUUAAAAGGGGAAAAAAAAACAGAAAAAUACCAGCCCAUGCUGUAGCCACUGAAGCAAUAGAUGUGGAGAUAGUAAACACCACUUUAUGCCUCUCAAAUAAAUCCUGCAAAAUUAAAAAAACAAGGAAAAAAAUUGUCCAGAAAUACGAAUAAAAAACAAAAUCCGGAUAAUUAAUUGAGUCGACCCGGAACAACUCAUUCUAAUUAUACACAUACCUAUGCAGGAAACAGAAAAAAGAAAAGAAGAAGAAAAAAAAGGAAUCUUUAUAGUUUACCUUAGUGGAGUUGAAAGUGGCCUGAACGGCAGACAAUGAAUUGGAAGCUUUUGUUCUGAAUUGGGUCAGAAUUUGAUGGUUCGCAAUCGAGGAGCCCGACGCUCGCAACCGCGAAAUUGUUCUCAUAAUUAAUUUAAUUUUAAUUUUAAUUUUAUUCCCAGCGAUGAAUUCUCAAUUUUCAUGGAGAAAAAAACAAGGGUUUAUGGGAUUUAGAUUAUUAGUACAGUGGGAGCAUUUCAAGUUUCAACGAUUCUCCGUUUCUCCUGCGGAAAAUCGAGACUUGGGGAAGAAUCUAUUCUUUCACUAAAUAAAAUCUAAUUUAUUUAUAAACAUAAAAAAGUUGAGAAAAACACCCUCAUGUUUGAAUAAUUACAAUCACCCCUCAACUAUAAAUCUUUUUACACGACCACCCUUGCGGUUCAAAUUUAGUGGAAUCUUCUUGAUUAUAUGGAAUAUUAUCACUUGUGUACCCGUUUUAUCUCAUUCGAGCUCUACAUUUUUAAGCAAGAUGAUCAUAAGAUGUGUCUUUGGCUUGUAUAUAUCAGAUUGUGGUGCAUCAUAAACUGUAUUUUCAAAACGAGUACAAACUAGAGCACAUUCCACGGAAUCUAGAUGAUUAUGUUGAAUAUGACACCAUAAGGGUGGAGGUGUAAGAAGAUUUACAGUUGAUGGGUAAAUGUAAUUAUCCAAACAAGAGAUGGAUUUUCAUAAUUUGACCAUACGUCAAGGGGUGGUUGUAAUUUACCCAAAAAGUUAUAUAACCUAAGCGAUAUAAUUGUAGGGUAGGAGGGUUCGGUCCAGGUCUGGGUAUGAGAAAUGAAGAACCUUAGUCGGCCUUUUAUGUAGCACAGUUAGGCAUUGGGUCAUAGGCUCCUAGUCUCUGGGUCGGAAACCUGUCGGUCCCAGUUUACGGUUAACCACGCAGUUAACCGUUUAUUUCUAGUUUUUCUUUUAAUUGUUAUAAUAUGUGAAGAAAUUGUGUUAACAACACUUAGAAAUUAUGUAGAGAUAUAUAAUUUUGUUGAUCCAAUUAAUAUGGCAUUAAAUUUGGAUAACCAAUUCAUUUCAAUAAUGACAUGAAAAUGGUCAAUUGGAAGGAUAUAUCAUAAGAUUAGAGUCUAAGAACUAGUCUUGGAUCUGUGUAGGGGAACUUUUGAUAAACAAAUUGAAUUUUAGUUCAUCGUCGGAGAGUAUAAUUAUGCUAAAGAGACUAUCAAAUAAACUAGGUUUAAGUGGGAUUUAGCAACCAGAGUAUUCAAGAUGAAUGAGUGAAUUGAUCCAUAGUCAAUAAGGGUCUGAACAUGGGUUAUUGCAAAUACAUAUGAAGUUGUCAUUGAGGAAUGAGUUUUGAUUAUAAAACUGUAGGGAAUCUCUUUAUGUUUGCGAUUUCUUGCACUGGAAGUAGUUGUUGGUACUCAAGAAACAUAUCUAGAAGUGAGCCUUUCUGCAUUUCGGGCAACUGAGCUUAAGGCCCGGUAUAAUAGAUACUAAAUUCAAAGGGCAUUUUCCUUUUCGCUGGUUGAUUCCGCUAUUGGCUUUCUUCCACGUACGAAAGAUAAAGCAUGAGAUGGUCAUGACUAUAGAAUCUUCAAUUCAUAUUGAUCUGCCUCCAGUGCCAUGUCAACUACUACACGGAAUGUUGUAGCAGAAGACAUGCGAACAUCUCGUAACACGCUUGAACUCUGAGUUGGUGCCUCUUUGGAAGUGGUUUGUUUGUUCGUUGGCGUCUUUGGAUAUGAAAGGAGCAUAGAGACACACUUGCUCAAAUCGGCUAACAUAAAUUGCAACGGUCAAACUACUUUGUUUUAAUUAAAAAAUUCUUUCAAUUUUUGGGCUCGAAAAUUUGUAGAGAAAUACUUUUUAGAAAAAUUGGACUUUGAAUUUUUCUCAUCUAGUAUUUCAUAGUUAGAUUCUUUCUUUAAGGCCUUCCCAUCAACGAUGGACAUCAUUCUUUAACAAGAUUAGAGCACAAUGGACUCAGUUUCGGCGAGUCAUUUCUAUAUAUACGAAAAAACUUUGAGACUUGAUCCAUUCUUCAGACAUGUCACCAGAUUUGGGAUGCCAUGGAAUUAGGCGGGAUUCAUUCUCAAAUAAAAGAAGAACGAAGAAGAAGAUAAAGGGGUAGGUAACCCCCCUUUGAGAGAAUACACGCCUCUCACGAAGAGAGAAUCUUCAAUUUUUUUAAAUUUUAAUGGUUAACCCAUUCUUAAACCUCAAAAUGAUCAUUCAACUUUUGGAAAUGGGUAGUAAAAUUAAUUAGUGAAGCAAAUGUGAGAUCAAUACAACCAAGGUCAAUAUAAUUAGCUUAAUUAUACUAAAAUUGCACGCUGCUGCUGCUGCUAGAGUGUUGUGGUUUUAACUAAAAAAAACAAGAGUAUUUCGCCAAAAUGACGAACAAUAAACAUUUAUCGAUAUUUAAAACAAAAAAGACCUUAUUCCUAAUGAAAUUAGGUCGCAAAUUGGUCCUAUUUAAAAUCUCAAAUAUAUGGUAAAACAUUGAAAUUAAAAAAUGUAAUGCAUCAAUACAAUAUUAUAACCAAAUGAUCAAUUAGAUAUGACGUGGAACACUCCCAUUGGUCCGAUCUACGUAGCACGAAAAACAGCCUUCCUUUUUAAAUCCCUGAAAAAUCAGUACCUAUUCAAUUAGAAAGAAACAAAAAAUGGAGAAAUCGACACUGAUCUCACUCAUUCUUCUCUCCUUGAUUGGAAAAUUAGGGGUUUAUGCUUUAUACGGACCAUCUUCCCCAGUUCUUCAGCUUACCGCCGACAAUUUCAAGUCCAAGGUACACGCAUUCAUUCGUUUUCUCUCUGCGCUUUGUCAGCCUUCUUUUUUUUUUUAAUAGAAAUUUUGUUGUAAUAGAAUUAAACCCUAAUUUACGACUGUUAUAUGUUAAGUUGUUGAUGUGAGUGAAGUUGAGAUCUGAUCAAUUUUUUCUUCGAUAUUUGUUUCUGUAAUGUGGUAAUGGUAGCUAGCAUGAUGAUUGAUCCGAGUGGUGCUAAUUAAAUCUGAAUUUGUUCAUGUGUUUUUUUUUUUUUACUUUGGGUGGAUAUCGGUUUUAAUUUUUUGAAUUUUUUUGAGACGGCGGCAUUUAAUUUGUAUUGUAAUUUUGCACAUGAAAUUGUAUCAUUUUUGUAAAUGAAAUUAUGUAAUGCAGGUCCUUAAUUCAAAAGGCGUAGUUGUGGUUGAGUUCUUCGCACCAUGGUGUGGUCAUUGUCAAGCGCUGACACCUACGUGGGAGAAGGCAGCUACUGUCUUGAAAGGCGUAGCGACUAUCGCGGCUCUCGAUGCUGAUGCUCACCAGUCACUAGCUCAGGUGUCUACAUUGAUUGAAUACUUUCGUUGUGGAGUUUGAUUUCAUGACAAAUUGUCUUUCUUCUGUGUUUUUUUUACUGAAUUAUUUCCAUCUAAAAUUUGACCUAUUCGAGAAUUAACAUCAACAGACAAAAAGUUGGAUCAUUUAUACUCUAAGAACCAUGUAGAAACCUUUUGAUGUUCAGCAAUUAUGAGUAUGUUGCCAUGGUUCUUGCUCUGCCCCUAGAUACUGAAGCAAAGAAGACAAAUUUCAUGCACCCUUUGACUUGUUUCCUCUUUGUUUCUUACAUUUCUUGCUGUAGAAGCUAAGGAACAUUCUGGUUCAAUGAGUUUUAUUACUCAAAUGCCACAUGAGAUGAAGUUUCUUGUACGUGUUUAGGUUUCGUUUUUCAUUUCUUAGUGAAGGUGUGUUUAUUUCCGUGUAAGAUAUGUGCAUUGCCAUGUUCUUGACUGAUGGCCGUUUUUGUUUUAUUGAUAUCCUCGCAUUAACAACCAUGUUUUUCCUUUAGUUUUUACCUUUCAUCCUUUUUUGCUGUAGGAGUAUGGAAUCAAAGGGUUUCCUACGAUUAAGGUCUUUUCACCAGGAAAACCUCCUGUAGACUAUCAAGGAGCUAGGGAUAUCAAGCCCAUCGCGGAAUUUGCACUGAAACAGGUGAGAGUAACUUUUCGAAUACUUUGUCUUUUAGUCGAUUUCUUAUGUUUUGCCCUUACUAUGCGAUUAAUAUUUUACACCGAUCUUUUAUUUGUUUCUUAAAUGUCAACAUUUUAUCUAACCACAUCUUGUUUUCAGUUGACAAAAUUCCAGGCAUUAUCAUGCUGGCUUAGUUUUAAAGUUUUAGGCACUGUCACUAUGUCUUAGGUCCUUCCUCAAGUAUUAUAAUCAGAUAUAUUUGUCAGUAGACAGAGAAUUAUGUGAUAACCUUAGGAUCAAGUCUUUUGUUGUAGUGCAUAGUGGCACUUAUUUGUGGUUGGCUUAACACCUGGUCAGCGUAACUCAUAAAGUCAUUAUAAAAUUCUGAAUAAUGUAAGUUUCCGAGUCAAGGACACUGCUCUAUUUCUGCAUUUGCUUUGGAGUAGUAGUAGUAAUAAUAAAGAAUCAGGGUUUCGUGCAGGGACAUGGAUAACAUUCCGUUUCUAUAUUCGUUUUUGUUUAGGUAAGAGCACUCGUGAAGGAACGUCUGGAAGGGAAGUCAUCGGGAGGAUCCAGUAAGAAGUCAGAACCCAGUGCUUCAGUUGAAUUGAACUCAAGUAAUUUUGAUGAACUGGUACUCAAAAGCAAGGAGCUCUGGAUUGUCGAGUUCUUUGCUCCCUGGUGAGUGCCUUUUUGAUAUAUAUGUUUUCUUCCAGAGGUCUAACCCUUGAAUUUUAUCUGAAUGUUCUUAACUGAUGCUCUAAUCCAAAUCCCCUAAAUCAUUGUUUGGGCUGCAUUAGGAAAAGCCAAAUCCCAAGGAGUAAUAUACUUCUGUGUUACUAUUUAUGGUAAAUCUAUAGUUAUUCAUUUAACCGACGAGACUGCAAUGAUUAUUGCAUGGUCUUCAACUUGAAAUGCUCGAGGUCUCAACUUAGUGGACAGUUCUUAGAUAUUCCUGUAGCUUUCUCUCCUUAUCUCUUAUUUUUCGAUUCCCUUCUCGUCAGUUAUCACAUCUAUCUCCGCAUGAAUAACUGUGCCUCUGAAGGAUUGGCCGAGUAAAUUGCAUAGUUGAUUUGGGUGGACUGCCAAAGCUUUGAGGGACAUAUGAUAGAUCCAUUGGGGCCAGAAUGUUGGUUAAACCCAAUGUAAUUGAUUGGCAGUGACUGGGGUCUGUGGAACUAGAACGGUGGGUGGGCCAGGGUUGUGGGAGAUUUUUGGUGAUUGUGAUUGACGAAUAUUGGGGUCAGUAAGGUAAUUAUACACUAGGGUGGUGGGCUCACGUUGUGGUGUGUAGGUGGGUGGCUAUAUGAUUUGGAAAAAAAAUGAUGCGGGUGGCAAAGCAGCCAUAGUGGGUCCAUGGACGAGGAUGGUGGCAGGGGAUUAUAUGUAACACCAUAGUCUAGGGGAAGCAAAGAGAACAAAGUGAUGGUAAUGGGUGGUCACUUUAAUGGGAAAAAUGGGAAAAAGGACUACGAGAAUUUGAAUAUAAGGACCAAAGGAGCCAACUACCAAAUGAGAUAGGAACGGUCUGGGGACAACUCCUGCUAUAUGUAAAUUUAUAGUAUUCCGAAAUUUAUAUUUCUUGCUUUUUUUUUUGUUUAACAUAGUUGUUACCAUUAUCUUCAAACAAUGAUUUAGGGGAUGCAAUUUGGUUUGAUAGCUUUUGGUUUGAUGUAAUUUGCUGCUGUGAAGGUGCGGACACUGCAAGAAGCUUGCUCCUGAGUGGAAGAGGGCAGCCAGCAGUCUGAAGGGCCAGGUGAAGCUGGGUCAUGUAGACUGUGACGCCGAAAAAGUAAGUCCAACCCAUUAUUAGAUAUUGACCACCACCCCCCACACACACACACAUGACAUAAUACACUUAGCCAAAUAUGAUUGCUGGCGGAUACAUAAAUUGCACCGUCUUUUUGGCCGAUUGGAUAUAGCUAGUUGUUGGUCUCUAUAACUUAGGAAGUUAUAAUUAGUUGAUUGACAAUGGAAUGGCAUAGUUCUAAUAAAUAUGAGUUUCCAGUCUUUGAUGAGCAGGUUCAAUGUGCAAGGAUUUCCCACUAUCAUGGUGUUCGGUGCUGACAAAGACAGUCCAUUUCCAUAUGAAGGUGCCAGAUCAGCAUCAGCAAUUGAAUCAUUUGCGUUGGAACAGCUUGAAACAAAUGCUCCCCCUCCUGAAGUGACUGAAUUGACUAGCCCUGUUAGCUCUCUCUCUCUCUCUCUAGAACACCUUUAUUUUAGUUGUUAUCAAAGGGGCCUUAUUAAUUGCUGUCAUUCUAUAGGAUACUUUGGAGGAGAAAUGUGGUUCAGCUGCCAUCUGCUUUGUUGCCUUUUUACCUGACAUAUUGGACUCCAAGGCCGAGGGCAGAAACAAAUAUCUCGAUCUUUUGUUAUCUGUUGCAGAAAAGUUCCGAAAGAGCCCCUUCAGGCAAGGAAAUUAUCCCCAUAUAAACUGAGUAACAAUGUCUUAAAAGGAACAAUUCUAUUCCACACGACUGACUUAAGUUUGAUGAAUGAUGCAGCUUCCUUUGGGCUGCUGCGGGUAAGCAAUCUGAUCUUGAAAAACACGUCGGAGUUGGAGGCUAUGGGUAUCCAGCUUUGGUAGCCCUCAAUAUCAAGAAGAAAGUUUUUAACCCACUUAAGAGCGCAUUUCAGCGUGCUCAGAUUAUGUAACCUACUCUCUCUCUCUCUCUCUCUCUCUCACACACACACACAACACACACUCAAUCGAAUAAUGAUAUAGAAUAUAUAGUAAUUAAAAGCCUCUCUCUUUCUCUCUCUGAUGAAUAAUGUAUGUAUGUAUUGUCAGAGAGUUUGUGAAUGAAGCAAGUCAGGGUGGAAAAGGAACCCUGCCUUUAGAAGGAAGCCCUGAAAUAGUGAAGACAGAAGCAUGGGAUGGUAAAGAUGGAGAGAUAUUUGAAGAAGAUGAGUUCUCCCUUGAAGAACUUAUGGCUGAUGAUGACACUCUUGCUACUAAGGAUGAGCUCUAGUUUUACAAUUUUUUCUUUUAUUUUAUUUACAUUUAGAGAAAACAUUUAAUUGAGCUAAAAACAGUUUUGAUUGUUGAAUUGGCAUUGCAACUCUUCUGAAUGCUUUAGUUGUCUUAAUACAACAGUCUUACUCGUCGUCUGUAGGGGCUUGUGCACAUGUAUGUGUUAUACGCGUGUGUGCACUUGAAUAUAAUCGAAUGGUAAAACUUUUUACGACUUCACUUCUGUCACUAUUAUACCUCCGGCAUAGCAUGAUUCGAGUCAUGUCUUAAUACAAAAUUGUCCUCUCGAAAUGAAUCACAUGAACUGCAAUUACAAUAAUCACACACACACACACACACACACACACACACACACACACACACACACACACACACACACACACACACACACACACACGCAUUCUAGUGUAUCAAAGGAACUUGUGCAAAGCAGUCUUGACCAAAUGAUCAGCAACGAGUCUAUUAGUCUUCUCGGUAGGAUGAAAUGCGUCCCAAAACACAUAUUUGUUUGCAUCGGAACAUGUAAACGGGUUGCGUUCGUCACAAGCAUAUCCCAUCUCGAACAUCCCCGUUGCGCAACAUGCCAUUUGAGAAACAUCAUACCCUGCAAAUAAGAAGGCCAAUAUUGCAAGAAAAAUAUAAAUAUUUGAGAAAAUGGUUGCUCGUUUUUCGUUUAAAGAACGAAAAAAAGAACUUACCAUAUGCGGAUGGGUUCGUGAUUAUUUGUAGAAGUAUGUAAUAAGGGUUGGAGAAAACCAGUUGUAACCUUGGUAAUUUUUUGUUUAACUUGGUCACUAAAUCAUACAACUUCCCAUUGAAGCUCAUGGCGACUAUGUUAUAAUUCUCAAUGCAUCCAUUUCCAUUAAAUAUAUUUCGUGUUCUUUCUAAGGGCAUACAACCCAUUGGAGGUAGCCCUCUGAGGCUUAUUUUACGUGCACCCAAGCCGUGAAGAUUGAUGACAAAUUUUUUGGCGAUUCCGAUGAGAAAUUGUUGGUACGCAUCCACCGUGUACUGCGAUCUUCUCUGCGAAUUAAAUGUGUAAUAAUUUUCUAGAAAAUCGUUCGUUCCGAUACUUAUCAUGUACAACGCCUUGGCGAUAGUAUUGUAGGCUUUCGCAUCACCAAGAUAGGCUUUUAGUCUCCUUUGGUAGUCUUUGUAGUAUUCCAAUUCCCUCCAUAAAGGAAUCACCCCCUACAAAAUUGAAAUUUUGUUGUGCAUCAUAAGAUUGAUUAUUCUUCAAGAUUGAUCAAGAAACAAAUUAAAGAGGCAACUCUCAUUUUCAUUUGAUUGGUGUAAAUUGUAAAUGCAAUGCUUCUCUGCUUCUAAGUAGGUAUAUUUUUCUUUAUUUUUUUCAAUAAAUACUUUCAUUUUGAACCGGUACGAAAUCAUUCAUUUCAUGAACUGGUUAAGGGUCGGGAUACCUAGGGUGUUCAUUCGGUAAUUCUGUACUGAACCAUACAUGAAUUUCAGUAAAACAAAAUUUCGGUACUUCAAAAAUUUGUACCCUUUAUUCGGUUCGGUACAGAUUUUUACCAAAUAAAUUUGGUUUUUUCAGUUCGAUGACGGUAAAACCGAAAAUAUAUUUUAUUAUUUUAAAAAAAUGUAAAAAAAUAAUUUAAACUAAUUAAUUCUUGAAUUCGACAUUCAAAAUUUCAAUAAUCGACACAAAAAAAAGUGAAUAUCAAUAGAGGCUAAUUUUAAAUAAUUGAAAAAUAUAGGGAAUUGCUAUUUGCGGUUUGAAAAUUGCUAUUUGCGGUUUAUAACAAAAUCCCCCAAAAAAACACUUUAUUUCACUAAAACCCCAAAACUUCCCAAAAAAAUCCAAAACCCCCUCAAAACGCGUAAAAGCCCAACUUGGGCGCCCAUUCAUGCAGUGCACGCCCAAGUUGGGCGUGCAAGCUGCAUUUGGGCGUCUAGUGCAAAUUUUUUUUUUUUUUUUUCUUUUUUAUUAAAUGUUCGAACGCUCAAGAUGGGCGCCCAAGGCGUGUACGACCGGGCGUUCGUACACGCCUUGGGCGCUCAUCUUGGGCGUUCGAACAUUUUUUUGCGAAAAAAAACCCUACAAAUCCGGGCGUUCGUACACGCCUUGGGCGCCCAUCUUGGGCGUUCGAACAUUUUUUUGCGAAAAAAAAGCCCUACAAAUCGAUUUGUAGGGCUUUUUAUCAUGAAAUUGGUUCCGUAAUCGACCUACCCAAUGCAUAUUACACAUAAAAGAGUCGAAAUUACAUCAAAAAAUCGAAGCCCAACCCUUCUUCAAGCUUGAUUUUGAAUUUUCGAUUUUUUUUUUUAAUUUUACUAUUUGCAGUUUGGGGGUUUUUUUGAUUUUUUUGAAAAGUUUUGGGGGGUUUUGUGAAAAACGAAAUAGCAAUUUUGUAACCGUAAAUAACAUUUCAUAAAAAAUAUUAAUCUAAAAGUAUUUAUAAUUUGUUAUAACCUUAACGGAAUUUAAAUAAAAGAAAAAAAAAUUAUUAAAUAUUUCGGUAUUCGAUACGGUGCAGUACCGUACUGUACCGAAUACCGGAAUUCCAAAAAAAAUCUUUACCCACUGUCGAACCUAAUUCUUAACUCGUGACCAGGUGGCUCGUGACCUGUGGUCAUGUGGAGGUACAAGUAUAAGCCAAACACGACAUGCUCAUAUUUAUACAAUUUUAUAUACUUUUUAUAUUUUAAUAUAAAAUUGCCUAUUCUUAGAUUUAAAAAUACACCUACACCCUUGAGGUAUACUUAAAUAUUUUAAGGUCCCUACGAUAUCGAUAAUUACACUCACCCCCCUGAAACGAAAUUGGAAACUCUAACGGGAUAAUACAUUGGAUGCAUUAUUCCGAUAUGGUUCUAAUUGACUAUUCCUUUUAGCUAGUGGUGGGGAUGACAUAGAGUUAUUAGGAGUUAUGGGGUGACAUGGCUCCCAUAAUAUUUCUUAAAUCACCUAUAACUCUUUGUUGUCUCCACCACUUCCUGAAACGAAUAGUCUGUUAGAACUCUAUCGUAAUAAUGUAUCCAAUGCAUUAUUAAAACAUUAGAGUUUAUAACUACGUUUCCAGGAGGUGAGUGUAAUUAUCAAUACCACAGGGACCUUAAUGUUAUUUAAGCAUACCUCAGGGGUUUGGGUGAAAAAAAUAUAUUUUGGGGAAUUUGGCGGGGCAGUGAGAUAAUAUAAUUAAAAAAAAUAGAUGAUAAUACUACAUACUAAAAGGGAAAGUAAGAAAGAAAGUUACGAGAACAUGAGAAGUAGCGUUAUCAUAAGUCAUAACCACUUAAUUCCAGCAGAAGCAAACGUGACCCCAAUGCCAAAAUCUGUAAUAUUAUACGCAGUAUCCAAGUACGCCGGAACCGACCGCCGGAGCCCCAACGCCUCAGAGAUGAAAUCGGUUGCGAUCCGGCCGUUUGAAAACCUUCCGGUGGGUUUGCCGCCGGCGAAAUCACGACCGUACGGCUGGAAAUUGCUCCUGGUACUUUAUUAUUGGCUUUUGUCGCACUUGCGGCAGCGGCAGCGGCGGCGGCUAUGAACAUAUAGUUGCUUCACCGCCCAUGUACAUGAUGCCAUUCUACUUUGUAUGUUUUUUUUUUUUGUGCUUGUCUGUAUUUAUAGUGAAUUUGGGGGAAAAUGAUGAUCAGAGGAGAAUAAAUGAAACCGGUGAGCUAAAUUUGUGGGAAAUUUAAUGCCGGUUUGACCCACUAGUUGUGGUAUGACCAUGGUUCGUCGGAACGGAACAGUGCAUUGUCGCGGACAUUGCCGUUUCAGUUCCGUUGCAAUGUCGCGGCUGCGUCGCGAUUGGAACGGAUAUAUUUUAAUUAAAAUGCGAAAAAUUAGAAUUAAUGUCAAAUAAGUUAUUACUAUUAACAUUACCGUAGAAUAAUAUACAAACUAUCAUUAAAAUUGCAAUUUUAAUUUUAGAACAAUUUUUUAAACUUUGAGAAAUAGAAUUAAGGGUGAAAAUGCAAAUUUUGAAAACUUAAAAAAUCUACUGAUAAUCAUGACAGUCGUUCCCCAGUCCCAAAUCAAACUACAUUUAAAGUGUUUCACCUAAUUGUAAUUUUUUAAAACUUUUAAUUAAAAGUUAAAAUUUUGAAAUUCUUAAAUCGUCGUUGGAGACCUGAAAAAGUAAAUUAUGAUGAUUCAUGCCGUUCCAGGCCGUUCCGGUACCCGUGACAACCGCGACCAUCCGAUUUAUUGCAAUGUCCCGGUGUUCCGGCUGUUUUUUGCCCAUUUGGCAAUUUUUUUGUUGUGGAACGGUUUGGUUACGGUUUCCGGAACGGAGGGCACCGUUCCCGUUCCGUUCCGGCCGUUCCGACCGUUCCGGCCGUAACGACCGUUCUGGCGCCGUUCCGGCCAACCAGGGGUAUGACCAAGGUUCUAAAAUUGGUCGAGAUAGACGAUCAAUCGGUCUUCGAGGCGGAGGCAGUCUAAAUUUUUUACGAUUUUAGUGUAAAUGUUUGAAAAAUCGGUUUUUGCCUAUAAGGCGUUUUUAGGCGGUCCGAGGUGGGUUGAGGCGGUUAAAUCUUAGAAGCGGGUCAAACUUUGGUGACAAAAAUGGGUCAAAAAUCGAGAUUUUUUUUUCUUUCUGAAAUAAUUUCUUUUUGGGCUUUUAAUAAAAAAAGAUUUUAUGCUUUGUUUUAUUUGUUAAUGUUAAUUUUUAUUUUUAAAGGACCUAAUAAUAUAUGCUUUCAAUGUUCAAGUAUAAUUUUGGAUGCACAAGAUUUUUGUUUUAUUUUUAUUUUGUAAGAAUUUUUAUCAUAUUAUGAUCUUAUUAUUAUUAAAAAAAUUAUUAUGUGAUUAUGAUAUAUAAAUGAUUGGGAUAAAAUCAUGUUUAUAUAUAUAUAUAUUACAUUAAAUUUAAAAAAAUCGAUUUAUUUCUCAUUUAUCAUCAAUUAAUCACCACCGCACCGAUUAAUUAUCAGGCGGUGCCUAACCGACUCGGGUCCGAUUUCCCCCCUUUUACAACAUUGGGUACGACCCAUGAACUGGCUUGUUGACCAUGGACCGGUUAUACGUUGAUGUAGAACAAUGAAACAACUUUGUCUUUGAUGGAUUGAGGCGGGUCAAACUUCAAUUCAAAUUAAACAAACUAGGGUUUUCCUUUUUUGUUUUUUCCAAUCCCUUUUUUUCAACCAAUUCCAAACCAAACCGGACUUGGUCGACGACAGCUACAAAUUGAGGCGGUGCUUGUUGGCGGCGGCGUCACUUCACAAAAUUGGGAGGUUUGCAAAGCUCAAGCAUAAAUUUGAAUGCAAAAGAUUUGUGUUGUAUUUGUAUUUUGUAAGAAUGUUUAUUGUAUUAUGAUCUCAUUAUUGCUAAAUUUUUGUUAUAUGAUCAAGAUAUAUAAACGACACGAUAUAAUUAUAUUUAAAUAUUUUUUCAUAUAUGUUUUAAGUAUAUCGAAAUAAUAUUUAGAAAUUUACACUAAAUCUAAAAAAUCGAUUUAUUUUCGAUUUAUCUCCGAUUAAUCACCGCUGCGAAAAUUUAAGUUCAAUCAAAUCAAAUUUAAUUUGCAUUCACCUUUGUUUUAGGGAGAGAUUUAUUUGGCUGCACAUGUAAAAUCAUAAAGUAGCAAAGUGACCUCUUUCCUUUGCAUUCAAAGACAACGAAAAUGGGGGUGCAUUUGCUUUUCCCUUUUUUCAUUUGGUGAUGGAACAUAAUUCUAACAAAUUUAAUAGUAUCCUAACAACUUAUUAAAAUAUACACCAAGUAAUUAAUUAUUGUUCGAUUACUACUAGUGAGUAUAAUUAACUUAAUAUUAUUAUUGGCUCGCAUAAUAAAUGUUUGACAAGAUAUAAAAUGAUUCUAUCGUGCAAAAAGUUUGAACUCUGCAAUAAAAUAUAACUAUCCAAUAGAAUCGAUAAAAAUUUAAAGUUUUCAACUAGUGUAACCCCCUGCUCUUUUUGCAAAUAAUAUUUACCUUAUGAGUUUGGAAGUAAUUUUGAUUUGUUUUUGGUCACUCAAUUUUGGUUAAGUAGUUUUAAUAGUAGUUAUGUGCUUAAAUUAGAAAAAGAAAUGGUUAUUUGUAAGAUAAUGCGAUAUUAUGACAAAAUGAUAACCGGUGAGUGUGGGAAAAUUUUGGGAUACAGAGCUGUUUAGCAACGGCGUGAGCUAAGGCAUUGCCAUCACGCUUAACAAAUUGAAAAGAACAUUGAGCGAAAUCUCGAUCUAGCAAUGAUCGCACUCCAAGUAGAAGAAAAACAAUUUCCUUCAUGAAGUGCUGUGAUAACUUGGAUAUUAUCCCUUUCGAAAGCCACCGACCACCAUCCCUUACUUCUUGCCAGUUCAAUCGCUUUGAGAGCCGCCAUAGCCUCGCCUUCAACCGGACUUAAUUUCCCACGAACAUUAACGUGCCUCCAGUAGACGCAAACGCCGUCGGAAUUUCUCGUCACCAGCCCAAUCGAAAACUUGCACUGCCCCUGGGUCACCGCUGCAUCAAAAUUUAUUUUUAUGACACCUACGGGGGGAGGAAUCCAAACGCUUGGGUGUGCCGGGUGCAUGCUCUCAUUUGGUCUAAAUUGCGCCGUACUGUAAGUUGCUAGAUAGCUUUUGCACCAAGCCACAAGAUCAAGGACUUGCAACUCUUCUUCUCCUUUGAUUGACUUGUUACGUCUUUCCCAGAGCUUCCAUGCAAGUACCACCGCUACCAAAAAGUCACCAUCAUUGAGGGAAUCGGAUAUACUCGAAAGCCAUUGCCAAUUCGAUUUGAAGUUCCACCAGUGAUGUCGUGGCCCUAACAAAUUAGUCCAUGCUACCCCCGCAUCACAACAUUCAAGGAGGGCAUGCAUGGUUGUUUCCAUACCAUUGUUGCACCUACCACAGAUUGGGGAACUACUCACUUUCCUCCUAUAAAGCUCAGCAUUUGAGGGGAGCGAAUUUCCACAGAGCCGCCACAAAAAAAUCCGUAUUUUCGGUGGAAUGGACAAACCCCAAAUUUGUUUCCAACGUCGAGCGUUUUCUUCGUUAUUCCCACCAGCCAUCCCAGCAUUAUCCGGCGCCGAUGAGGAUGUAACGAUCGCAUGAUAACACGACCGUACCGAAAAAUUUCCAUUCGGUGUAAAGUGCCAAAUCCACUUGUCGUUUGUUAGCCCACGACUAACUGGGACUUCCAAAAUUCGCUCUACAUCAACCUGCCAAAACACCCCUUCUACAACGCUUAGAUUCCAAGACUGAGAUUGAGGGUCGAUCAAGUCCGCUACUUUGUCCGGGAACGCUGAGUAGUUAGGCCUUUUAGUUAUCACCUUGAAAUUAUUUCCAUCUCGAAGCCAUGGGUCUGCCCAAAUUGAGGUAUCGAGGCCAUUUCCAAUUUGUCGGCGAAUACAUUUCUUUAAAAAUGGGAUCACCUGCCGAAUGCUUCUCCAAGUGGAAGAGGGACGAAAACCGAUUCCGGCAUCAAACAAAUUGCCACGUGGGAAGUAACGAGCAGAAAGAAUUCGAGCCAAGAGAGAAUUAGGAUUCGUCAGUAUCCUCCAUGCCUGUUUCGUGAGUAGCGCCAAAUUGAAAGAUCGAAGAUCUCGAAAUCCCAUACCGCCAUAUUCUUUUGCCGUACACAUCUUCUCCCAACAGACCAAAUGUAUGCCCUUGUUCGAUCCAUUUCCCCACCAAAAGCGACGUAUGGCUUUUUCAAGAUCCCUCACUCUCCCCAUUGGCAACAAAAAACAACUCAUGACAUAGGAAGGAAUGGCCGGUAAAACGGAUUUGAUAAGUACCUAUUUUCCUGCUUUUGACAGAUACUUUUCACCCCAUCCCCGUAUUCGCGCCCAAACCCUAUCACGUAAGUAAGCAAAAAUCUCUUUUUUCGUUCUACCGAUUACCACCGGCAUACCCAAGUAUUUAUCAUGACAUUCAACCAUCCGAAAACCCAAGAUACCAUGAAUAGUGUUUCUCCGAACCUCGGUUGUGGAAGGGCUAAAACACAUAGUCGAUUUCUCGAAAUUGAUCUCCUGCCCAGACGCCCGAGCAUAUUUGAGCAAAAUAUGCUUUAAAGCCAUCGCAGAAUCCUCGGUAGCUUUUCCAAAAAUAAGAGUAUCGUCAGCGAAACAAAGAGUAGACUCUUCUGGCGCCGAGUUUGCAAGCCGAACCCCUGUAAAUUCCCCCCUCCCACUCGCCUUCGCGAUCAUAACAAUCAUAGCCUCGGCACAACUUAUGAAUAGGUACGGGGAUAAGGGAUCCCCUUGUCUAAGCCCUCGCGAAGGCGUAACUGAGCCAAACUGCGUACCAUUAAAUAAGAAAUAAAAUGAGAUGGUCGAAACACAAAGCAUGAUAAGGUCAAUAAAAUUUUUGGGGAUGCCAAAUCGAACAAGAAUACUUUUUAGAAAAGACCAUUCAAUCCGAUCGUAUGCCUUACUAAUAUCUAGCUUAACUGCCAUGUAAUUAGUUCUAAUAUUAGUGUUAUGCUUGAUGAAAUGAUUGAUUUCGUAAGCCACAAGAAUGUUAUCUGAAAUGAGACGUUUGGGCACAAAGGCAGAUUGAGUGGGCGAGAUUAGAUCAUUAAGAACUAAUUUGAAAUGAUUAGCUAACACCUUAGACCCUAGUUUAUAUAUGACAUUGCAAAGACUUAUGGGUCUAUAAUCAAUAAUUUUCUCGGGAUUUUCUACCUUAGGGAUCAAGACUAUGAAAGUGAAAUUAAGAGUAGAGGGAAGCUUAAGGUUAUUAAGAAAAUCAAGAACACAAGAAGUGAUAUCGGAGCCUAAAAUAUGCCAAUAUUUAGUAUAAAAGGCUACAGGAAGGCCAUCAGGGCCCGGAGAUUUAAAGGGGGCCAUUUGAGAGAUGGCUCGGGUUACCUCGUUUGGGGUGUAUGGCAUAGACAAGAGACGACGGGCAUUCUCGCCAAUUCUGCUUUCGACAGCUUCCAACACUUCAUCUAUCUCAUUCUCACUCGGACUUGUGGACGUGAAAAGUUCUUUAAAGUACUCCGAGAUAAUCCCCUCUAUAUCGCUCGCUGCAUUCUUCCGAUUUCCUGAAGAAUCCUUUAGUUUGUUUACCCUAUUAGUGCAGUGUCGGAUUGUGGCCCUUGAGUGAAAAAAAUUGGUAUUGCGGCCCCCUUCUCUUAUCCAUUGGACUUUGCUGCGCUGUCGCCAAUAUAAGUCCUCAUCCUCGUAUGCUUCCAAUUUGUGUUUGAGUAAUCGAAUUUCUUCUUUGCGUUCCGCCGUGAUACCCAUCUCCGAUAGCUGCUGAAUACGUUUCCUUAAAUCGGCGAUGGCCUUUUUCGGGUGUUGAAACUGCGUCCGCUUUCAGUUAAUUAACGCCAUUCUACAGUCCUUAUUUUUCUGAAUGAUGGCAUCGAUCGAAUCAGUGCCAGCACUAGCCGUCCAAGUUUCUUGAACUACCGCCUCACAAUCCUCCCGUUUUAACCAAACCGCUUCAACCCUAAAAGGCCUUCUCUUCCUGCCCCCUUGAACGACCGAAGUUGCGUUAGCGACAAAACGGAUUGGUACAUGGUCAGAUCCUGGGUAACUCAAGUGCUGAACUUUACCAUUCGGGUGCUGCGAUAUCCAUUCACCAUUGGGGAAGACUCUAUCCAAACGACAACGUACCGUGUCAUCCGCAAUUCGAUUGUUGGACCAAGUGAAUGGAACCCCCUCACAACCCAUGUCAGUGAGCCCACACACAUCAGUCGCCUCUCGAAACUGUUCAAUAUGUAGCGAAAAUUUAGGGUUUCCACCAUCCUUUUUCUCGUUGCUAAGAAUUUCGUUGAAAUCUCCACAUACGACCCACGGGAGGUCUCUACUUUCUUUAAUGCUACCUAAAAGUUGCCAAGACAAAUACCGUCGGGAGGGUUCUGGUCGGCCAUAGAAACCGGUUAUUCGCCAUUUGCUAUUAUGAUUUAUGUCCGAAACCUCCGCAUCAAUAUGGUAGUUCGAAUAACCAAUAAGAUCGACAUCUACAUCUUUUUUCCAUAAUAACGCUAAACCACCUGACUGGUUGUUCCUCGCUACACCAACUCCAUUUAGAUUCCAUCUUCUUUUUAAAUUUUCGAUAACUAGUAGUGUUGCCUUCGUUUCCGAAAGAAACACGAGCAGGGGCCGAAACUCCCGGAGAAUGUCUCCGAGUACAUGAAUUGUCAAGGGAGCCCCGAGCACUUGACAAUUCCAGAAUAUGCAACUCAUAAUUCUCGGCGGGACUGCACCGCAGUCUCCGCUGUUGAGGCCAGAUCUUCAUUACACAAGCUUGAGUUAUGUCGCUUUCCGGAAACAUGUCGAUCAGAGAGUCCUGUUUCAGUAGCUUUCUUCUUUCGAUUCUUAGGUGGAAGUUUGGGCUGGCUUCUGUCCGAAAGAGCGGUUUUGGCACCCAUAUCGAAUUGAAUAGUGUGAGUAAUCAAAUUUAACUCGUUACCAAUCACCAUGGCAGGUUGAACUGGUCUUGUCUCCGUGGAAGUAUGCUGCAUAUCAUUCACCUUUUGUCUUCCGUAGUUGAAUAUAUCAGCACCUAGGGUUGUGAUAUGUGAUGAUGCGGUCGCAACAACCAAUUGGUUGGUGAGUGGCUGCAAAGGCCGGCGAGAGGAGUCCCAUACCAAUUGUGUCAAUGCUCGCAUCCAUAAUCCAUACGGUAAGUUAUCGCCGGGGUCUGUAAAAUUCUCCUCAUACCUCUCCGGACAACGGUUUUCAGCAUGUCCAAUGCGUCCGCACAAGAAGCAAAAGUUCGCGAGGCGUUCAUAAGUAAAUGCCACCCACACCUUUUCACCGUUGAGAAUAUGAAGAUUCAUGCCAUUUUUUAGACUUUUGAGAACAUCAAGUUUAACUUUGAUGCGAACAUACUGACUCAUAUCUAUAGUUUUAGGGUUUAACAAUUCAACAAACUCUCAUAUCUUUCCGCCAAGAAGCUGCACCGUCUGCUGGUUCCGUGUGGAAAAAGGAAUAUUGUGGAGGCGGACCACAAUCGUCAUCGUGUUUAGUUCCAUAAGGGCUGGAUAUUGAUCGGCAAUGAGAUCUUGGAACAGCAAAGCGUUCUUUUCCAACAACAAAGGGCAUCCCGACUUUGCAUGCUCAUAGUCUAACUGAUGUUCGAACCGGAUAAUGAAUCUAUUCGGCCCCAAUGGUACAACUUUGCAUGAUUUACCCGGUUGGAGGAGGCGAAGUAUGUUGGCUCUAAUGGUCUGUGACGAGAUCUCUCGGGUAGUGACAAUCCGGCCGAUCAACUGAUAUGUAACAUUCAAUAUUCUGGUAUGCGAACUUUCGGUUGUUACUGUGAUCCCCUCUUCCUCAUCAGCCGUAAGAGUGAGACCUUUUUCCAUUGUAUAUGUUAAUCCAUCCAUUUGAGGGAGAGAUAGAUAUGAGUGUUAGGAAGAAGAAAGCAGAAUUGUGAAGAUGUCGUUAGAGUCCCGUCAGAAAAAAUGAGGCGCAACAAGUUAGGGCAAGGAGAAUAGGGAAACAAAAUAGGCAGUGGAAAAACAGAAAAAAAAACCAAGAUGGGAAAAGAAAAACCCUAAUAUUUAAAAAAACGCAGGAGAUAAAACUAAACAAUAGUAAAGCACACGAUUGGAUCUUCCGACCAAUCUGAUAAAGGAUAGUUCAGGCCACCUAGAACCAGCGAUAAACGAGCCAACAUCCAAUAAGCCUAGCCUCUCAGUAGAGAGAAAAAACUCGCCUUUCAAUAGAGAGAAAAAAUUAGGGGUUUUUAAUGCGAUAAGGGGGUAUAACCCUCUCAUACAACUUUCUUAUAGGCAUAAAUCCAAUUUUUUAUUUACUAUUAGGGAUAACCCCUCAUUAAGCUUAAUACCUCAUUUACCUCUAUUAUAUUUAUAGAAGUAUAAUUAAAUUAUUGUUGCAUAAUCAAAUCACGCUAAUUUCCCCCUAAAACAACUCUCCUUAAAUCUCUCACCAACUCAAAAUCUCUUAUGCAAAUCACAUCAUUUCAUUUUUUUUUUCAUUAUUUUGUUACAAUUUCUUUUCUAAUUUUGAUUUAAUUUCUUUUUUCAUUUUUUUAAAUGGUUUUUCUUUACCGCAAGUUUAACAAAAAAUUUAAAUCCACUACAUAUUUAUUGAAAACCACUAUAAAUUCAUCGAAAACCACAACACAAUUAACAUAGAAAUCACUAUGAAAUUAUCGUAAUCAACUUUAAUAUUAAUGUAAUCCACUACAAACGUAUCAAAAUCGAAUAAAAAUUUACAUAAUCCACUACGAUUUAACGUAAUCCAUUACAAAAUUAUCAAAAUCCACUUUAUAGGUUAAAGUAAUCCACUACAAAAUUAACGUAAUAUAUGGUUAAUCCACUACAAACUUAUCUUAGAAAAACACUUAUACAUCAACAUCAAACUUAUCAAAAUCCACUACAAAUUUCCGAAUUUAUGAUAGUGUUGCUCGUGGUUUUCGUUAGGUUAGAGUGACCCGGUGAUAAACAAUACAAACUUUUCAUCACCCAACAUCGUCCCACUUGCUGCCAUCACUUCGCUUGUGCAAGAACCUAAACCAAAGAAAAAGAAGACGACCAUGUGUCAAUUUAAUUCAUUCACUAAAAAUCGGUCUCCAAAUCAAGAAUAUCAACUAUAAUCUCGUCAAAACCCACUACAAAAAUUAUCAAAAUACACUAAAAUAUUAACAUAAUCCACUACGAAAUAAGUUAAUCCACUAUAAAAAUUACAACAAAAGUAUAAUAACAAAUAGUGACCUAAAACAUGAAUGAGGCACAAAGGUAUAUUGGAAAUCUUAUAUAAUAGCUCAUUCAACAAUUCAACUGGUUGCCACUUCUAUUUUGUUAACCAUCAUAUUUAAUUUAUUUAUGGAUAUAGAGAAAAAAUGACCGCGACAAAAACAAUAGCAAACCAAUAUCUUAAACAACAACAAACCUACAGGAAAACAACAGCAGCAACAAAACUAGCUGCAAAUUAGUAACCAAACAGCAGCAAAUUGCAACAAACCCAACAGAAAACAACAGCAAAAUAGCAGCCAAACAAUAGCCAAUUGCAGCAAAAAAUACAAUAAAUAAAUUACAAUUAUAAGUUUUCGGAAAAAAAAAAAUCCAAAGUUUGAAAAUAUUUUUGGAAAUAAUGUGAAUUUUCGAUAAUAUUUAGUGCUUCACCUUAUUAAUUCGCUUAUUGUAUUCCCUUAAUAAAAAUUAAAGAAAUAAAAAAAUAAUUGCUCACCGAUUAAUAUUGAUUUUAUUCUUCUUUAUUGGUCACCGAUCUUCAAAUCAAAUUGAAUAACAAAUCUAUGAAUCUGAAAUCGAAUAAAAAAAACUAUGAAUCUCAAAUCAAAUUGCACUCCCUUUAAGUUGGUGGUGGCGGCGGCCGCGACAUCUCUACUGGUUGGGAAUCUACAGAGAUCGGAGGGGGCGUACUAGGGAAGUCCCGGAAAGGCUUUGAUGAACCAGCACAACACGGAGGUGCUCCACCAUAGGAGCAAGAUGCCUUUUUUCCCUGUGAAAAUAGUGGUCGGUGGAUUUUCCUGGCGAGAAUGGCUGAUAAGUGUUCGUUUUGCACGGUUUUUGCUUAUCAAAUUUUCGAGUUUUGGUCUUCGUUCGUCCGAGUUUCGGCUUUAUUUGUAUAUAUUAUUGUGUUUCUUGUUUUACCUCUAUUCCUAGGUUUUAUUAGGUAUUUUUUCCGAGUCAAAGCCAUUUGAAAGCGAAACCGAAUUUUCAAGCCAAUUUUGGGGCCAAGAAGACCCAGAUCGCGAUACAGGAACUGCGUAUCGCGAUCUGGGGGUUGUCACAGAAAGAAAAAACAUCAAGACCCAGAUCGCGAUCUGGGGGGUUAUACAGAAGACUUUCUACUCAAGAUCCAGAUCGCGAUCCAGAACUCCGUAUAAGCGAUCUGGGGGUCUCACAAUGCAAAUUUGUUGAAGACCCAGAUCGCGAUACACAUAUAUGGAUCGUGAUCUGGCAUGGCGGUGGGCAGUUCCCCGAGGCUGCCAGAUCGCGAUCCAGACAACCCAAAUCGCGAUCUGGGCACGCUUUUUGAGAAAGAUAUUUUGUUUGCAAAGCUUCUUGAGGAAGUUUUGCAUUUUACUAUAAAUAGAAAGGCCCUUUCAUUCUUCAUUUCUUCUUCGAAUUUUUACGGUUUUUCGACAGUUCUUCGCGGGAAUCAUCAACGGGGGUUUCGACUUGGGUUUUUCUUAUGCAAUUUCUUUACGUUUUGUUCUUCAUUUCUUGUGUACAUUCUUUUGACAUUAUGUUUGUUAUGAACUAAGAACAUUCUCUUCUAGGGUAAUGAAACCUUGUAUAUAUUGAUUUCGAUCGUCAUUUCUAUUAUCUAUUUGUCGUGUUUCGAUUUCGUUUAUGUUUUCCUGUAUUAAAUGCUUCUGAUUGUUUGAUCAGCUCUCGGAUUGAUAAAUAGGAAUGAACUCGAGAGAGGAUUUCUUGUUUGAAGUUAGGAAAACAUAGCUCGGGGUGUGGAAACGGACACGUGAUGCACUUCGGGUAGCCCUUAAGGACUUGACAUAAAUGCUCUCUUAAUAACAGGUUCUGAACGGAGACGUCGGACCUGUGGGUAGACUUUAACUACACUGGAGAUAGGGGUUAGAGUACAUUAGCGUCUGGUUUAGUGAAUAGAAAUGUGACUUUAGAUAACGGAUUUGUAGAUCGUUGUUGAUUAUACAUAGGUGGAUUUGGCCCUAGAAGUCCCUGUUAAAUUGAAGCCCUCCCGUGUUGAAUUGUUGCUAUUUCAUUUACGUACAUUCUAUAUUGCAUGUUUACGAUCUUGCAUGCUUUCAAAUUAGGGUUUCUCACUAUUCCAAUUAUUUACGAUCGUAGAUAAUAUAACGAUAAUAUAAUUACACUACUCAGCAUGUGGAUCUACAAGGUCCCUGUGGAUCGAUAUCCGGAACCGCUGUUCUGCAAAAUGCGAUACUGUAUACUUGCGGUAAUUUAUACGUGAGGAAAACGCGUAUCAAUGGCGGUCGGCGAAGAUCGGCAGAGAGAGAUGAAGAGACAGAGUGCGGUUGAAAAGAGAGAAAUAAGAGUUGAAAUUGAGAACGUGCAAAAUAAAUACGGAACUAGUAUAAUUAAUUCCAAUAGUAAUAUACGACCACAUAUACAUAAGGGUAUUAUAGAAAUAAACAUAAUAAAAAAUAUUGUUUAAAAUACAUUCAGAUUUAUCAUAAAAAUGAGAAUUUUUUUGUUCCGUACUAACUACAAAAGCAUAUGAUGAAUUUUCUCAAAUAAUCCCUAAAUAAGGAGAUCGUGCUUUUGAAAUUAUAGUUUUAAACAAAUACUGAAAGAAAACACUCAUUAGCAAAAUUGAUUAAUAUUUUAUUUGAUUUAUUUCUAAACAAUAUUUCAAUUUUUUAGUAUUUCCAAAAUAGUCUUUUUAUUACUUUAUUUUAUUAGUUUUCACUAAUUUAAUGUAUAUAUGAUUUUAAUUAUCCUCGUUUAAUGGGAAAGAAUGUGAUUGGCAUAUAUGUUGUGUGAUUUGUAAGGUGUAUUCGAGCCAAUGCAAUCUCAAAAAGAGAUGAAAAUUAAAUUGAAUUGCUCGAUAUUUGAUAUUAGAUCGUAUGUUAAAAGCGUGUCUUUAUAACUCGAUUUAUUAACACACCGAUUCAAACUUGAGUACAUUCGAGCUCGAGCUCAAACGCAACAUUCAUAACUCGAAGACAAAAAAAAUAAAAAAAAUCAAAUAAGUUUGAAAACAACCGUACAUUCCGCUUGAGUCGAUUCCUUUAAACAUCUUAUUAUCCUAAAACAUAUAUGCACGUAAUAGAAAUAAUAUUUGUACACAUUAAUAUUUUUUUUUUCAAUACAUUAUCAUUUAUUUUACAAAUGAUAAUAUAUUAUAGAACAUAGAAUUCCUGAAGUAAUUAGUUCAUCAUGAUGAAUCAAUUUGUAUCGCCACCAAUCGGAAGAUGGUCAAUGCCCAACAACUUGCGGUCCUGGCGACAGCCGAGGCUAGCCUGGCAACCCCUCCUAUAGGGGUUUGCAGCCACCGGCGUCGACUUUGGUACAGGUUUGUGAGUAUAUCCAAUCAUUUUGCCUCUGCCGCCUUCCGCCGGCGAUGUAAGAAACAUCGCCACCAAAAGCACCACCAACGCCAUGCUCACCAACAACUUCCUCGUCGACGUCGCCAUCGUUAACUAAUUAUUUGGUUUCUCAAUCGAUCAAGUAAUUAAUAUAUUUAUACUAAUUAGGUUCUAAUUCUUUUGUUGUUAUUAUUUAGUUAUUUAAUUUGAGGUGGAAAUGGAACAUAAGAAUUCGACCGUUGAAAAGUUAUGGACUGAAACUAAUAGUUUAGGGAAACCGUGGAGUGGAUUUCUGGUCUAAGGAGAGCCUCCUAAUAUUUGUUACCACCUAAUUAAUGUGGCUUAGUGGAUCUAUACUAAUAAAACAAAUUACUCAAUUUCUUCUAUAAUAUCUAUCAUUUUUGAGAUUAUUUUCUUUCUCUCCAUAUUAUCUAACAUUUUACCAUUCUAAUUUUGCAUUAAUUAUAUAUUUUUUAGUUAUAUCAUUAUUAACUCUCCAAAAAACUUAUCUAUUUUCUAAAAUCAAGACUUAUCUAUUGAGAUUCUUAAAACUUAAGCCAAUUUUAAAUACGACACAUAUUUAGAAACAUAUGGAGUAUAAAUAUAGUAUUGAAAUCAAAAAACGUUAAGAAGUUGCUUUAAUAAUUAACUACUUCAAUAAAUUGAUGUUAGAAAUUUUUCACAAUGAUCAACAUUAAAAAUAAACAGGGACCUUAAAAUAAUUUAUGCAUAUCUCAGGUGUGUCGGUGUAAUUUACCCUAAUUUUUAUUUUGUGCAAAUAUUACAUAUUUGUGGUAGAUUCAAUUUUUUAUUACUGUUAUACUAAGUGUUGACAAGUUCAUAACAUAGGGUAAAUGACAAAUAGGCCCAUGACAAGGGCACUUAAUUAAAAGAGGGACAUCCAACUUUUUUGUCUUUCAAAUAAAUCCAGCCCAUUCAAACUUAUUUGCAAAUAAGGAAAAUUCUUUUAUAUACACAAAAAUUACCCCCAAUUCAUUGAAACCCAAUUCAACUUCAAUUUCAUGAUUUACACCCCAAUUUAGCCCAAUUUUAUCAAUUAACAAAUUUUAACCCUGAUUUCAAUUUUGACCCCGCCACCACCGGCGACCGCCGGUCGCCGCCGUUGACCGGCGUUGAUUUUUUUUUUUUUUUUUGUUUUGAAAAACUUUUUUUUUUCCCGAAUUUUUUUUUUUCCGGCCGGUCAACUGCCGUUGACAGCCGGGUCUCCGACGUUGACUUUUUUUUUUUUUUUUUUAUAAUUUUGUUUUUUCUUAAAAAAAAAUAUUUUAAUUAAUAUUACUGUCAUGGCUGCUAAAUUACUGUCUACGGCAGUUAUUUGACGGCCGGAGACAGUAAUUUAACAGUUAAUUGAUUUUUUUUUUCUUCAAAAAUAUUUUAAUUAAUAUUACUGUAUCUGUGCUAAAUUAGUGUCUCCAACAGUUAUUUAACUGUCGGAGACAGCAAUUUAAUGUUAAUUGACUUUUUUAUUCUUAAUUUUUUUUUUAAUCAAUAUUACUGUAUUCGUUGCUAAAUUACUGUCUCCAGCAGUUAUUUAACUGUCGGAGACAGUAAUUUAACUGUUAAUUGACUUUUUUAUUCUUAAAAAAACAUUUUUAAUUAAUAUUACUGUAUUCGUUGCUAAAUUACUGUCUCCAGCAGUUAUUUAACUGUCGGAGACAGUAAUUUAACUGUUAAUUGACUUUUUUUCUUCUUUAAAAAAAUUAUUUUAAUUAAUAUUACUGCCUUGGCUGCUAAACUACUGUCUCCAACAAUAAUUUAACUGUCUUAGACAAUAAUAUUAAUAAUAUUACUGUUCUGGAAAAUAAUAUCCAUAAUAUUACUGUCCCAAACAGUAAUAUUAAUUAAAAUAUUUUUUUUCUAAGAAAAAAAAAGUCAACGCCGGAGACCGGCGGUCAACGGUGGUUGACCGGCCGGAAAAAAAUUUCAGGAAAAAAAAAUUUCAAAAAAAAAAAAAAAGAAAGUCAACGCCGGAAUCUGGCUGGAAAAGAAACAUUUCAGAAAAAAAAAUAUUUUCUGAAUUUUUUUUUGGGGGGUUAAUGUGAUAUAUUUGUUUAAAUUUGGGGUUAAUGUGUAAUAUUAUGGAAAUUAGAGCAUAAUGGGUGGAAUUGAUAAGAAUUAUAUUAUGGAGGGUAUUUUAGACUAAAGACAUGGGGAUGGGUUUAAUUGAGAGACUGAAUUUUUGUGGACCAAAAUGCAUUUAAGUCCCAUGUGAUGGACCUUUUUGCCAUUCGCCCUAAAACAUAAUUAAAAGAGACACGUAUUUAAUGUGGUGAUGAUACCAUUAUAUGUUGGGUGGCCGUUCAAAUAUCAUUAAUAUUACAGACCUUUAAUCAAAUGAAUUACAUAGAUUAAUAUGUUGGGUGGUGAUGAAUUACUCCUGGUGUCAAACUCACAGAUCCACGCCCAGCAGUCAGAACUUCAUCCUAGUGCUCAGAUCUCAGCCUCACUCCGACUGUAGUCUCAACCCAACCCAAAACCCCAAGGAUUCGAACUCACACACAGUGUUUUCCCAGAUCUGUUACCCUCACUCACAGAGGUCACGAAACCACUCACAACAGAGAGGUUUAAGACAAGAAGGUAGAAUAUAGGAAUUUUUCGUGGUGUUUCUUCAUCUUCAAGAAGAGAUGUAUAUAUACCCACACAGCUGCAGCAAGAAAGGAAAGAGAAUCGACCGAAUCUCCGACCGCCAUGGAAUCCGGCGAAAGAUUCAGCCGUAGAGAAGAGAAAGAAGAGAGGAGGUGCAGCUGUUAGGGUUAGGGUUUGAGGAUUAGAGAGAGUGGGGUGAUAUAUAUAUGUGGCAUGGAUGGCUGAGAUCGAGACUUCUCAAUCAACGGUCCAGAUUGAAUCUGCUUGGGCAUUAAGUGAGCUAAUGGGCCGACACCAAGGGCUGCACAAAGUGGACAGCAAUUUUGGGUCAAAUAAACAUUUUGGCCCCUUUUAUCUAACAAUCUCCACUUGGGACCAAAUGGACUAUCGGGACAAAAUUGGGAUAUGAGGUCAUCAUUGCCGUUUUAAAUGUACCUGCACAACACAACACGAAGUCAGCAACGUACAUUAAAAAAUUAAUCACACAGAUUAAAAAUAGAGGCAAUCACGAAGACAACCCUAUAAUUACACACAAUAAUUAAGACUGAGAGAUUAGGCUCAAGCUUUUCAAGCAAGAGCGAAACUUCUCGAGUGGGAGACACUUAAUACCCAUAUCUGCUGGAUUAAAUUGUGAUGGGAUUUUUUCCAGCUUGAUAAUACCAUGUUCCACAAUAUUACUAAUGAAAUGAUACUUAAUCUCAAUGUGUUUAGUACGAUCGUGGAAAACCGGGUUUCUACAUAAUUGAAUUCCCGAUUGGCUAUCCGAGAAAACAGUGACAUUCUUUUUAAGAAAACCAAUUUCGCGUAGAAUGCCUUUAAGCCAUAGAGCUACUUUCAUUGCCUCGGUGGCAGCGAUGUAUUCAGCCUCGGUUGUAGAUAGAGCUACAAUAUUCUGUAGUUGCGAUUUCCAACUAAUGCAUGAUCCACACAAAGUGAAAACGUAAGAAGUGGAGGAUUUCCUACUGUCUCUAUCAUUUGCAAAGUUGGAGUCAACAUAGCCAAUUAAUUCAAUUUCAGUUUUAGAUUUAGAAAAAUUUAGGCCACCAUGCAAAGAAUAUUUAAAAUAACGAAGAAGCCAUUUCAAAGCUUCCCGAUGCGGCAUACCUGGGUUCGACAUAUAGCGACUCAAACAACUUACCGCAUAAGCUAUAUCAGGGCGAGUGCUUACCAUCAAGUACAUCACAUAACCUAUCGCAUUGGCAUAAGGAACAUUUUGCAUAGAGUCAAUUUUAGUUUCAGUCUUGGGGGACUGAUCCUUACUUAAUUGAAAAUGGGCAGCUAAAGGCACGUUUGCAGGUUUAGCAUUAGACAUGGCAAAUUUUUCUAAGAUCUUACUCACAUAAGAAAUUUGAUUCAAGAACAACAAAUUAUUAUCUCGAUUGUGAUCAAUGUUCAUGCCCAAUAUUUUCUUAGCAUCCCCUAAGUAUUUCAUAUCAAAUUGUUCACUUAGACGCAUUUUCACAUGAUCAACAGAUUUCACACAAGGACUGAUUAUGAGCAUAUCAUCAACAUAGAUCAACAAGAAAAUAGGCACAGAGUGAGUAUCUUUGAAGUAAAGACAAGGGUCAUAGUCACUUUUCUUAAACUUUAACGAAAGCAUGCAAGAAUUGAAUUUCUUAUUCCGUUGCCUAUGUGAUUGUUUCAAGCCAUAUAAAGAUUUUUUCAGCAAACACACAUAUUCAGGCUUUUUAGCAUCUACGAAGCCCUCAGGCUGUUUCAUGUAAAUAUGCUCAUCUAACUCACCAUGAAAGAAAGCAGUUUUUACAUCCAUUUGUUUUAAUUCUCAAUUAAAAUGCGCAACUAAUGCAAGCAUAAUACGAACAGUGGUAAAUUUAACAACGGGAGCAAAAAUUUCAGUAUAGUCUAUACCUUCCUUUUGCGUGAAACCUUUAGCAACAAGACGAGCCUUAUACCUAAUGGAGUCUAUCUCAUCCCUAACCUGAAACAACUAUUUGCAGUCUACCAAAGAGCAAUUAGCAGGUUUAGGAACAAGAGUCCAAGUUUGAUUAACAUGCAAAGAGUUCAUUUAUUCUUUCAUAGCAUUUAACCAUUCAGCUGAUUUAUCAGAUUUUAGAGCAUCCCUAAUAGUUGUAGGUUCAUUGCUAUCUAUAGAUUCAAACACAUUGAAAACAUGAGAAGCAAGAUGAAAUCUAUCAAAACGUUGUGGAGGCCUAGCAUUUUCACGUCUAGGUCAAUCUCUAGCAAGUUGAUAAUCAGACAAGUCAUCCACAUUAGGCAAGUCAUGUUGAAAAUUUUGGUCAUGCAAACUUUCAAGUAUUUCAGAUUCAAUAUCAGACAGAUUUUCAGAUUCAACAGUAGGCAGCUCCACCUCAUUUGGAGCAGCCUCCGAAUUCACAGUAUUAUGCACAACAAGGCAAGGAAAAAUAGAUUCAUUAAAAAUCACAUCACAACUAAUAGCAAUUUUAUAGCUAUGUUCCCCUUUAACCCAAAGUCUAUAACCUUUAAUCCCUUCGGGAUAACCCAAGAAAACACAUUUCACAGAACGAGGUUCAAGUUUAUCACUUUUAAGAUGCAUAAAUGCAGCACAACCAAAAACACGUAAGUUGGACAAAUAAACCUUUUUACCCGACCAAACACAUUCAGGCAAAUCACCAUGUAAAGGCACAGAGGGAGAUCUAUUAAUCAAAUAGGUGGCAGUCAAAAGAGCCUCACCCCAAAACAUAGUUGGUAAACCCGAAGUGGCGAGCAUGGCUCGAACCCUCUCUAAAAGAGUUCGAUUCAUGCGUUCAACCACCCCGUUUUGCUGAGGGGAGUAAGGAACAAUUUUAUGCCUUUUAAUACCAGAUUCAGAGCACAUAGCAUCCAUUUCUUGAUUCCAAAAUUCUGUACCAUUAUCUGUCCUAAGGGUUUUUAUCCGUUUUCCUGUUUGAUUCUUAAUAUAAACUUUCCAUGUUUUGAACUUAUCAAUAACAUCAGAUUUUUGUUUCAACAGGAAGACAAAUACCUUACGAGAGAAAUCAUCAAUUAUGGACAGAAAGUAACGGUUCCCAUAAUGUGUAGGAACACUGGCAGGACCCCACACAUCACCAUGCACAUACUCAAGAAUAUCAGAACAUUUAGAGGGAUUGGGGGAAGGGGUUGGUUGAAAAGAAACACGAGUUUGCUUUCCAACGAUGCAAGAGUCACACAUAGUAACCUCAGACACUUUAUCAUUGCCAAAAUAGUGAUUGUUAUGCAGGAUGCUGAGACCUUUAUUACUAAUGUGACCUAGUCUAUUAUGCCACAGAAUAGAAUGAUCAGUUUGGACAGCAUUCACAGAAGCAGAUGAUUCAGAAUGAUAUACAUACAUAUUUUGCAUUCUUAUGGCCUUAAAACAUAGCAGAUUACCCCUCAUAAUUUUCAUGCAACCAUUACCCCAACCACCAUGAAACCCAUCAUCUUCUAAGAUAGCACAUGAAAUCUAAUUUUCACUUAAAUUAGAAACAUGCUGCACAUUUUGCAAAGUUAACACAUAACCAGUUUCAAACUUCAAGCAAACAGUUCCAAUUCUAUGAACUUGGCGUUUUGUGCCAUCAGCCAUAGUCACAUUGCAAUUAUUCAAUGAUUCAUAGUGGGAGAAAACAUGUUUCAUAGGAGUCAUAUGAUGUGAGCAUGCAGAAUCUAAAAGCCAAUAAUUUUCACCAAGAAACGAUAGCACAUAAUUCACACAAGCAUGUUCACCAACCAUAAACACUUCACCAAGAUUAUUAUCAGAAUCAUGAUUAGCAUGCUGAUCAUUAGAGUGCUUAUUAGGCUUAGUACAGUUCUGAGCAUAAUGACCAGGUUCACCACAAUUAUAGCACUUACGAUUACUAACACGAGUUUUCGACUUACUCCUGCCCCUGCCCUUUUUCUUUUGAAAGUUGUUUUGAUGAGAACUAUUUUGAGAAACAUUUUGGUUACUAGAGGAAGGCUUAUUUGAAAAUCGAUUUUGAUGCCUUCCUCUCACAAAGUUUACCUCACCAAAACUCUUAUUGCUUUUGUUAACUCUCAAAUCCAGUUCUUUACUCUUUAAACCGUUUAUGACAGUGUCAAGAGAAAUAUUAUCCCUGCCAUACUUAAUAGCAGAUUUCAAAUCGUUGUAAGAAUCAGGAAUUGCAUUUAACAAAACAAUGGGAGUAUAGUUAUCAAUACUUUUGUCUCCCGUCAGUUUAAUAUCCUGAACUAAUCUGGUAAACUGAUCUAUAUUCUCAUCAAUAUUUUUGGUUAGAUCCAAUUUGAAUCUAAAAAACUUUUCGAGUAAAAACAAUUUUGAGGGCAGAGAAGUUUCAGUGUACAGCUCGUCUAAUUUUUCCCCCAAACCUUUGGCAGAAUCAUGCAUACCUACCUUUCUAAUCACAGAGUCAGAAAGAUUCAAUAUAAUGGCAGAGUAAGCAAGUUCAUCAAGCUCUAUUUUCUUAGAAGCACUAGUUUCAGGAGCAUAAGAUUCAUCAAUAGCCACGUAGCAUCUUUGUUGAAUUAACACACCUUUCAUUUUCUGUUUCCAAAUAGAAAAAUCACCCUUACCAUCAAAAGGAGUCAUAGAAUAGACAGACAUGACAGCCAUACAAAUUUCAGCACAAAGCAAGAUAUUAGACAAAUUUUUCACAAUAGGCCAAAAGUGGGAUAAGUGCAUAUGCAACAAGGAUAGACAAUCUUGGAGACCCUCCCUCACAGGAUUCCUGGUCACUUGCGGUCCGGUCAAGUGAGGUCAAGAAUCCAAGUUAUACCACCCUUUAAUAUUUAUAUAUAAGUGAGCCGUUUAUAUAUAUGCAGCGGAAGAAUAAUGUUCACACAGAAGCAAGAGUGGCACACAUACCACAACAGAACACACAGAGUGGCACACGGACCACGAGUCACACAAAGUGGCUCACAUACCACAUAAUAUAAAAACUAAGGCAGUACCAAUCACAGCAGAAAAUAAAUCCCAACCAUAGAGGGUUUAUGGUACAAUACCUGAGCGGAAUCCGGUUGGAUUCCCGUACGCCCUAUUUGAACGAGCACCCCCAACUUGACGAUGCUCUGGUACCACUGUUGGGUGGCCGUUCAAAUAACAUUAAUAUUACAGACCUUUAAUGAAAUGAAUUACAGAGAUUAAUAAGCCUAAGGGGAAGGGGAUUAGGACUUAACAAAUAAAUUACAGAAAUAAUAAUGAUAAUAAAACAAGAACUAAUGUGGGGCAGAUCGAAAAUCUGCCCGUUUUCAACUCCGGUGGAGAAGAUGACACAACAACGGCUCAGUCCUCGUUUCCCGUGUCCACGUCCGGAGUCCAGUCGGCGGCAACCAGUACACUCCUGGUGUCAAACUCACAGAUCCACGCCCAGCAGUCAGAACUUCAUCCGAGUGCUCAGAUUUCAGCCUCACUCCGACUGUCGUCUCAACCCAACCCAAAACCCCAAGGAAUCGAUCUCACACACACAGUGUUUUCCCAGAUCUGUUACCCUCACUCACAGAGGUCACGAAACCACUCACAACAGAGAGGUUUAAGACAAGAAGGUAGAAGAUAGGAAUUUUUCGUGGUGUUCUUCAUCUUCAAGAAGAGAUGUAUAUAUACCCACAUAGCUGCAGCAAGUAAGGCAAGAGAAUCGACCGAAUCUCCGACCGCCAUGGAAUCCAGCGAAAGAUUCGGCCGUAGAGAAGAGAGAGAAGAGAGGAGGUGUAGCUGUUAGGGUUAGGGUUUGAGGAUUAGAGAGAGUGGGGUGAUAUAUAUAUGUGGCACGGAUGGGUAAGAUCGAGACUUAUCAAUCAACGGUCCAGAUUGAAUUGACUUUAAGUGAGCUGAUGCGCCGAGACCAAGGAAGUGGGCUGCACAAAGUGGGUCAGCAAUUUUGGGCCAAAUAAACAUUUGGGCCCCUUUUAUCUAACAUUAUACCCUGUAUACACGAUGGUCUAAAAAAAUGAAUUUUCACUAUUUUAGUUUUACAAGCACAAUAUCAGGUCUUAAACAAUAAACUAAAGACUCCCUCUUUAUCUUACGAUCUUUUUGUGCAAUAUUCAAAACUAGCGACUCCGAUUAUGCUUGCCUCCUCUCUGCAGUCGGCAGAUUGAUCUUCUCCCAGAUCUUUUAAGCCCAUCUCUCAAAGAACCGAUCUCAUAUAUCAUAAUGUUUGCAAGAUUGGCUACAGAUUUCAUAUCAAUAGUGAGAAUGUAGGCCAUUUUCGUUCGUCUCGUGGUGUUAGGCAGGGGGAUCCUUCAUCACCCAUGUUUUUUAUUAUUGGUCAGCAAAUCUUAGCUACUAAUCUAAAGAAAGAGAUUAAGUCGGGUAAUAUUCGGCCAUACAAGACGGGAAGAAAUGAGCCUGACAUUUCUCAUUUUUUUUAAUGCCGAUGAUGUGCUCAUCACCGCCAACGGUUUUUCGAUUAUUUAUUUGGGUGUGUCGGUUUCGGUGGGGCGUAACAAGGCGACAGAUUAUGAAUUUUUAGUGUCUAAAAUCUGUAUGAAAUUAGAGGGCUAGAAAGAUCAUUUACUUUCAUUUGGUGGGAAAAUUACUUUGAUUAAAUCGGUUUUGGCAAGUAAUCCAAUAUACACACACACUCUCAUGGAAACUUGUACAGUUCCAAGCUCUGGAGAAAUCACAGGUAUCCAUUUAUUUAUUUUUUGAUAUAUUGUUUUGGGUAUAAAGGAUUUUAUAAAAUGAGAAAUUGAGUUAUUUUCCUGUUGUGCUUAUUUUAACUCGCGCAUUUGUUUAAUCAAUAUGUGGUUUGUUAAUAUGACAAACUCGGGAACUAUUUUUUACUCUUAUUUUAUAUUUUUACUUGAAACUUGGAUCUAAUCGGAUAAUAAAUAGUGUUGGAAGUGGAAUGAGCAAAAGUUUGAUUUUUUUGUCAAAAUAAUUUGGUUAUAGUAUGAAAUAUUUUUUAUGAUCAUAUUGUCUUUUAAUUGAUACAAUCUCUUUGACAUUUUAAAUUAAUUAUUUGCUUCUAUGUUAUUAGUUAUAUGUUAAAUCCGCCUGAAGUAAGAAUGUUGUGCAUUUGAUUUAAUCAUUCUUUAUAACAUUGUUUUUCAAUAUUUUGAAGAAUUGGUAUAUAUUUUUAAGGUAAAUAGCAUUUUGCCAUCUGUACUUUGUCCGUU
rnacentral:lncRNA from 1 species